UAACAAUCACUUUGGUCUUGGCUGGUAUCGCAUAUCCAUUAAUUUCACAUCUCUCCCUACUUUCUCUUGGAAGUAGCAAAGGUACAGGAGGGUGUAAUCUUAGAGUUUCCUUCAUAACUAACUUCAAGUACUUCAAUUCAUGAAGGUCUGCUUCGUUGACAUCCCCUGUUCUAUCAUAGACUUGCCUCACCUCGGCUUGUGCUUUUUCAAGGAUUCUAGGAUUUUUUAUCAUUUCCGACAUUGCCCAUUCUACUGCAGUUGAAGAUGUCUCAGUUCCAGCAAUGAGCAUGUCCUGGAAAGAAGUUAUGCUUAGCUAAAACCACAGAACAUCUUUAUGCACAUAAAUAAACACGCAAUAUAUGAAUCUACUAACCAGGAUAACAGCUUUGAUAUUUUCAGUUCUUAAGGGAAAUUCAAGGCCUCCGUCAUCCUGGAGAUUCAGAAGAACAUCAACGAGAUCAUCGGUUACGUCAUCACUGUCUUUGGUAUUUGCAUUCCUGGCUCUAUGCUCUUCAAUGAUGCUUUCAAGCAUCGCGUCCAAAUCCUGGUGCCACCUCUCAAGUUUGGCUCUCAUCCCACUAAUCAUGGGAAGCAAUUUGAUGGAAGGAAACAGAUCAGUAAUACUAAAACCACCCGCAGCUUCCACCAGGUUCCUCGCAAUUGAAAUGAAUGCAUCAUGUUGCUUGCAUCUUGCGGCGAAAGCAGUCCUUAGAGUGAUGUUAUAUGAUGAGUUGCAUAACAUUUCUCCAAGGUUGAUUUCCAAUCCUGUAUUAGAAUAGAUGGAUCGAAUUAAACUUGAUACCUGCUCUUCUCUGAUUGAUCGGAAGGAUUGUACACGUUUCAUACUUAACAGCUCCAAUGUGCAAACUUUUCGAAGCUGCCUCCAAGUGUCUCCAUACGGUGCAAAACCAAUAUCAGAAAAAUUAUACCCUAUGAUUUCUGCAACAAGGAGAUAAGGCCUGGUAGCAAAAUUUAUAUCAUGUGUUUUCAUCACUUCUUUAGCAGCCUCUGGAGAAGAAACAACAAUGUGUGAUAAUUCACCAAGCUGUAGGUGCAUCAGGGAACCAUGCCUUUUGGCUAAUUCGGUCAAGCGGUGAUGGGGGAGAGAAAACAUUAAAAGGUGCAAAUGGCCUACUAGAGGUAGCUUCCAUGGUGCAGGGGGUAGAUUCUUGGGCGAGUUCUUUAUUUUGGAUCUCAUCCAUAGCUUCAACACCAUGAAAAUGAAGACAAGGAAGGUGAAGCACAAUGGGAGCAGCUUGAAUUGGUUAUCCAUGGUAAGAACUAUACAAAACUGUUAUUUAUACACUUGCAGAAUCUUGAUACCUGCUUGUCUGUCAAAACUGACAUUUUGUAUGGAUGGUUUAAAUAAACAUAAUCUUCCUUACCAGCACAUGCAAAAAAUCAAUUUCUUUUAUAGCUAGAAUCUCGGAAUAUCGUAUAAGAGGCAUAACCAUGGAGAAUCCUUUUCUUUUAUCAAUAUUUCACGUGUCUUCAUUAAUGCAACUUGGUUUAAAUAUUUAUAGCAGAGAUUUAUAAUGAUACACCAGCUAAGAUACUUGAACUCUUUUAUGUUAAGCAAACUACCCAAAAGAGCAAUUGAAACUGAUAUCCGGUAAAAUACAGUUGUAUUCCAAUUAAAUGGAAGAUAGGUUUAAAAAGAAAAGGCAUAUCACAUAGUAACAACCAUUGAAGAUAAAUAGAUAAUACUCGACUUCUAAAAUGAAAGAAAAACUCAUUUUGGACUAAAGAUAUAAAAGUGAGGCAUCUAUAUAAUCUGCAUAUAAGGCAAACCAUCUUAAAAUUUCAAGCAGACUCAUAGAAAAACAUGCAUGCAGCUCAAACUUCAAGCAUUAUUAUACUAACAUUAACUGAAUCUCACAACUUUUCAGUACCUGAUAUGUCAACAUUGCGACACCAAAAAGACAUUGAACUGAUCAAAAGACUUCUGGUAUUCGAAGGUAUUUCAGGCAACACCUUUAGAUUUCUGUUAGACAACCAUUUCUUUCGAGUAUGAAUCCCAAUCCAUGUUCUAUGAUGAACAAAGACGAUCUUUAAAAUCAAGCAGCAGAGUUUCCUGUCGUCUAACUAGAUGAUACACAUCAUCAUUAAAUUAAUAAGGUAUAAUGUUAAAUUUAACCCUUAAUAUUUACAUCUUCUAUCAAUUUCACCCUUAUUCAUUUUUAGCUAAAUUUAAUCAUUAAUAUUUCGAAAAGAGUCAAAUCCCUUUUUCUAGAAAAUGAAAAUACUGACUAAAUAUUUUUCUUUUAGCGUGUUGGCAUGACAACCAAUAAGGCAACCCACAUGUAGUUUGUAUCGACAUAACACAAUUUGUUAUAUGUCAUGUUAAUAAAUAAUUUAAAAAUUAUAAAAAAUUAUUCAAAAAAAGUUCAACAGGUAAAAGAAGCUCAUAAAAAUUUUAAAAGAAACAUGAAAGUACAUUUAAAUUAUCAUGCGAGGUGCAAUGUUUAAAAUUUUAACAUUUUAGUCUGUAUUUCUACUAAAAGUUAAUUUAACUCUUUUUAAAAGGUUGAUGUCAAAUUUAAUUUAUUUUUAAAAAUGUUAAAAGUUAAAUUUAGUUUAAAAAUAAAAUAAAAACUUAAAAGCUAAAUUUAACAUUAUGCCGAUUUAAAAUUAAAUAAAAUUGAUAAUUUUUAAAAUUCAAAAAGUAUAUGGACUUAGAAUGACCCAAUUAAAGUAAGUAGGCUAAAUCUACUACCAUGCACAUAUUAGAGUACUAGUAAUUAAACUUAACUAUAUGGAUUUAAUUGCUACUGAACCAAGAUUAAAAAUUUAAAAUUUGAUGAAUGUAAGAACUAAAUUUACUAAUAUAAAAAAUAUAAAAACUAAAAUUAAUCAAAUAAAAGUAUAAAAAUUAAAUUCAUAACUUUCACAAAAUAUAAAUUUAUCCCAUUUUUUAACAUGCUCCAAUCACGUGUUGCAAUUUAAGGAGGCAUUUGAAAAGCUUAUCUCUAGUACUUGCUGCACUGACACGCUAUACGUCUUAAAUUAGGCUUGUGAACUCAAUUAUUGGGAAUAUGAAAACAACCGCUGCCGUGCAAAAUGAGACCUUACAAAUAUAUAAACUUAUAAGUUUUAAUAACUCUCAAUUUUAGAGUUUAGGGGUAGGUUAUGCUAUCAAUUACAUUUCCAAUUGUAACUUAAAAUAAAAGUUGAUUGGAUAAUAUAAUUUUUCUUGUUUAAUUGAUAUUUGAUGUUUGAAGACUUUUAAUUACUUAUUAGAAAAGAUUUUACAUGUAAGAAUUAAGUUAAAUAAAUAUUGGAUUCAAUCUUUUAAUAUAAUUGGAGUUCCUUAAAAAAUUUUCAUCUUUAAGGAGUUUGACAACUAGAUCUUUGUCAAAUAUUCACUUUAUUGAAAAAAAUUUAAAAUUAGUAUUUAGUAGAAUUAGAUAUCGAUGAUAUUGAUUAUACUUUAACAAGCAUAUUUUUAUGGAAACAUAUUCUAGAGGGCUUGUUUAGAUUAUGAGAACUACAUAGAGCACUUCAUUUUGCUCAUUUAGGAAUAGUUUUUUUGUGCAAAAAUUGUAAGUAAAUUUAAUUGAGUUCAUCACUCCAUUUACAUCAAAGCUUUCAAGGAAAUUUCUUAGAGUGAGAGUAAUCUACGUUGUAGUAUAUAUGUGAGUUGCAAUUUAGUGAGUGAAUUGAACAUAAAAGACACAUUGUACUUGAUUAUAUAAAAUGCUACUCUUUGGGCAAUGCCUCGUAGACGUAAGAAGUUUUCAAACUGCGUAAACAAAUUUAAGCUCAUAUUUCGGGCCACAUCGGGUUUGAUCUUGUAACACCCCAAAAAUCCCUUAUAUUUAUUUUUGUAUGUUUGUGACACAAAUAUAUGUCUGCUUUGGUGGUUAUGUGUUCUGGGAGUGUUUGAGAAGUUUUGGGUUCAAGUCUUGACUUGGGCAAAUUUUUUUGUUUUAAAUGAAUAAAGCCCUAUCUCUAGAUAGCGGGCUUUUAAUUAAUUGUUUGUAGAAACAUGUAAAAAAUGGGCUUACUAUCUGGUGGCUAAGUGGUGGAUUGGUGUCCUGAAGGUCAGGAGUUUGAGGCUCAGCCUGAACAAAGUGUUUAAUUUUUAUUGCUUAGCCGUAGAGGUGUUGUAGUUUGACCGAAAUUUGAGUGUUUGAGGAAUGUGGGGAUGUGUGGCCAAUUUUUAGGAGGUUAGUGAGGGGGGAUUUCGGUUAUUAAAGGGUUUGGAUAGUGGGUGGUUGGAGAAUGUGGUGAGAGGUUGUGUUGAAUGGGUUUUCUUUUUUAAAAUUUCAGCACCCUCUCCUCAAGAUUUCCCAAGUUGUUGGCGGCAGAUCCUUUCCCCUCUUGGACGGAAUUUCUCCUAAGUGUUCCCUUUCUUUUCUUCUCUUUUUGCAAAUUCGGUUUUUGUUUUGUUUUUCCUCUCAAAUCCCUAUCGGUCAUUCCUAGUUCUUUGAACUAAUUUCAGUAGUUGUUCUUUUUCUCUUUUCUCUACUGAUUGUGUUUCCUCUUAUCUCCCCCUUUGUUACUGCCGAAAUUUCAUUGAUUUUUGCUAAGUUUUGAGCGUUUAUUCCUCCUUCUUUUCUGACCAUUUGUUUGUCUUUCAUCUAUUCGUAUUGGGCAGUGAGAAAACGUUCACCACUUUACUCUUCCUUUGGCCGAAUCUUCUUUAUCCUUCCACCCUUUUAUUUCUCCUUGUCUUGCUGAUUCUUUUCUUCCUUGUGCAGCCGACUGUGUUCCUACCUUUGUUCUCUAGUGAGCAUUCUUUAUCUUCUGUUAAGUUCUUGCUCUUGGAAGUUGGUUUUCUUAUCGUUAUUGAUGGUAAGGGUAAAUAGUAUAGAGUUAGCUUUUUGCUUGCUGGAUCAAUGCUUACCUGUUUUUGGUUGGUGCUUAGGAACUGAUUCAAGGGGUGAAAGAUCAUUAAUUGGCGUUAAGUGGGCAAAUCUUCCUUCUUUACUCGUUUAAAGGUAACGUUGUUGCUAGUUAACGCUCGGUUAACCCGUAUGUUUUUGAUUGAGUAAGAGUACAAGUGAUUAAUUGAUGAUUGUUUGGUCAAAUGUAGGUUUCAAAGGCUCGGGAUUUUUCCUUCUCAGCGAAUAGAAACCAGGUGUGUAAUCACAUCACUGUAAACACUAGCCGAUGAAAAGCCAAAAAAUAGGACUGACGACGCCACACGAGCGUGGGACAGCUAGUGUGGCAGGCCGUGUGAUCGAACGUGGGCGUGUGAUCGACGAGGCUGGCCAUGUACAAUUCAUGGGUCGGACCGGAUUGGGUCGUGUGGGCAACACGGGCACGUGAGCCUCACACGGGUGAACCACACAAGCGUGUGGGAAUAUUAGGCCAAGCCGUGAAUCCACACGGCCAAGGCCAUUUUGGGCCGUGUGGGCCACACGAGCAUGUGGGCCCAUAUGGGCAUGCAAUGUAGGCCGUGGGCCCAUUUUCACUAUUUGACUGCUAAGGUUGCACAGGUCGCCCAAGUUGACUGUGGACCUACUAUAGGGUCGGUAAGCUUACCUAGACCCCUAAUUGAAUGAAAUGACCGAAAGACUGUUAUAUGCCUAUAUGAGAUAGAUAUGUGUGUCUGUAUGUUGAGCAUGCUAUUCACACUGCACUGAUUAUACAUGGUACCAUGACAUGUUUGUAUGAUGCAUUGUAUUGGGUUGGGGAUUGAUAUUGAUUGGAGGAAGUGUACUGAAAGGCUUCAAGCCUAACUUACUGCAACUCAGCUGCAACUACUGUCUAGUGCCGUAUUCGGUACUAUUUGGAGUGUAGGGAUGGGUGGGUGGAUUAUACCCCUACAUGGAGUGUAGGGUUGGACGGAGAUGAAGUGUAGAGGUUGGUUGAGUAGGAUUUUAUAACUACAUAACUGUCACUGUUACUGUAUUGUGUUGGGCUAAGGCCCUAAUGCUUACUAUUACUGAAAUGGGCUAAGGCCUAAACUGAUACUAAUACUGAUAUUUAAAAGGGUUUAGGCCCAAACUGAGAUUAUCUGCUAUUAUUUGUUUGUUUGAAUGGGGAUUACACACUGAGUUUACGUAAACUGACCCCUUCUGUUUAAUCUGUACAGGUAAUCCUCAGAUAUAGGUGGAUCAGUGAGGCGGAAGACUCAGCGGUGGCCACACGACUCCUUUUUGAUAUUUGAUACUUAUUUACGAUUUAAAGUUUUAUUUCGGGGUAGUUUUCUAUAAUAAUGGCCUCUAUGGAUUUUUACCUAAAAUUCGGAUUUCAUACUGUUUUCUGUUUAUAUCUACUAGAAGUAGGUAAAACUGAUGUUUUCAAAAGAGAUGAAUGUUUUAUCAAAAUACCAUGCACACGCAAACUAUUUUAAAAGCUUCAGCAAAGUAUAACAUUUUGGAAAUGAAUCACGAUUUGAGAAUUAAUGAAAGAUAAUGAUAAACUCUAAAAGGAAAACGGUUUUAGCAAUGAUACAGCUUUCAAACGCACUUCCAUGCGACAUCGCCAGAUUCGACCAUAACGUUCAGGCCGGGUUUGGGGUGUUAUAGAGCUAGUAUAAAGUGUAUUAAUAACAUAUUUAGAUUCGACAUAACCCAUGAAUCCUCUAGUUGAGAGGUGAGGGAUUUAUUUUCAUGAUUGAGUUCAUUUUUAUAUAUAUUUCAUCUAUAAUCUAUAAUAUAUAUACACAAGCACGACUUUGGAAAAACUUUUGAAUUAAUAAGAAUACCCUUUUAUUUUUCACUAUAUUACUAAAUUAACAAUUAAAAAUAAUUAUGAUAAUUACUUUAGAAUUAUUAAUUUAAAAAAAAGUUAGAAAUAAAAGGGAGUCAAUGCAAUGUUUGUUGCAUUAUAAGCUAAACUAGUAGAAGAAAAUAGAGAAGACCUACUCACGAAAAUGAUGUCAUGGGUUCUUAUCACUUCUGCAACAGUUUGUAGGCAAUAAACUACGAUGCUUGGAAGUUCUCCAAGAUGAAGAUGCAUUAAUGAGCCAUAUAUCUAUUGAUGUAUUUUGAGUUUGAUAUUGGAAAUCAGAUAUAUGUUUUGUGUGCCAGUUGCUUUAAGCCGUUAGUAGUAACUAGUAGUUGUUUUAAGUUUAGUUUUUCCACUGUAAGCUUCUUUUACUUUAUUUUUUUUACUCUAGUGUUAGGCAGGUGUAAAACCUUUUUUUAAUUAAAAGAACAUGUGUGUAUGAAGGUGAAUAAACAACCUUCUCUAUUAUUCUCAAAAAAUUUAUUUUUCUUCUCUCUUAUUCUCUUCCUCUAUUUGUAACAAAAACUACACCAAUAGUGGUAUUCGGAGCUUCUUCUUGAGGGCUGUGAGGUUUUACAUAUAUUUUUGAGUGAUUUUAAUGGCCUUUUCUAAUACUCUUUCAACAUCUGUUCCUAUUUUCACAAGAACUCAUUAUCAUGUUUGGGCUGUCAAGAUGAAAGUUUAUUUGAGAUUUAUUAGCUUCUGGAAGCUUGUAGAAACUUAUGAAGAUCCAUCAGCAUCGAAACAAAAUCCCACUAUUGCUCAACUCAAAGCUUACGAUGAACAAAUCUUGAAAAAGGAUAAAGCUUUAACAUGUAUUCACUCCGGGUCAGUAGAUCACAUUUUCACAAGCAUUACGGAUCUUGGAACACCAAAGGCUAUUUGGGAUAAACUCAGACUUUAUGGUGAAGAUCUAUCUGAUGAAAAGGUGGUUGAAAAAGGCAUUAUCAGUGUUCCUUAAAGAUUUGAAGCCAAAAUUUUAGCUAUUGGGGAAUCUUGUGACAUGAUGAGUCUAACUAUUAUUGAUCUUGUUAGCAAGCUAGAAGCGUGAGAACAAAGGGUUUCUAUGCAAGCCCAUAAGGCAAGUGAAAGUGCUUUUAUUGCUGCUUACAAAGAAGUAAAGUUCAACAACUUCGAGAAUAAAUUUGAAAGCUCAAGCAAGGGUAAAGUUGUUGGUUCUUCCACUAGUGGUCAGAAUGGAAAAUUUCCACCAUGUCCUAUUUGUAAGAGGACAAAUCAUGCUAAAAAGGAUUGACGAUUCAAGGAAAAAGACAAGUCCAAAUUUCAGUGUAUUUUUUGCCAAAAGUCUGGACAUACUAAAGAUUUUUGUUGGGUCAAGAAGAAGCAAGCAAAAAACCAUGUCCUAUUUGUAAGAGGACAAAUCAUGCUGAAAAGGAUUGUCGAUUCAAGGAAAAAGACAAGUCCAAAUUUUAGUGUAUUUUUUUGCCAAAAGUCUGGACAUACUGACAAUUUUAGUUGGGUCAAGAAGAAGCAAGCAAAAAACCAAGAUCAAUAGCAAGCAAAUGCAACUGAAGAGAACCAAGAGCAAGGUGAGCAUCUAUUUAUGGUUUCUCAUGUUGUUAAACCAUCUCAUAACUCUAUUUAGCUUGUGGAUAGUAGGUCUACCAAUCAUAUGAUGCUUGUGGCUAUUUACUUUAACUCACAUGAUAAGUCCUUUAAGAUAAAUGUGAAGUUGGGAAACGGUGUUACGGUUUAGGUUCAAGGAAAAGGUUCAAUUUCUAUGAACACUCUACAAGGUAAAAUGACAAUCGUUCUUUUUAUUCCUAAUUUAAACCAAAGUCUUUUGAGCAUUCCUCAUAUGAUUAAAAAUGGUUUUGGUGUUUAGUUUAAGGUAAUGUCUGCAACAUAUUUGAUGUUUAUAGUUCUAAGUUUGCUGAUUUGAAGAUGAAAAACAAUAGUUUUUAUUUGAAGCUUGAUGUUGAUUGUGAACAUGUGUGCUUUGCUAAGGAUGAUGUCAAUCCUCUUUGGCAUAAAAGGAUGGGGCAUUUUAAUCUUAGAACCUUGAAGUAUAUGCAGUCAAAUCAUUUUAUAACAUAUUUGCCUGAACUGAAUGUUUGUGAUGAUAAAUGUGAUAGUUAUCAACUUGGGAAGUCACAUAUGCUGUCAUUUUCUCAUGAUGGUGUAAAGAGAGCAACUAUGAAAUUAGAGUUAGUUCACUCUAAUUUGUGUGGUCCAAUGCAAACUUCUUCUAUGAAUGGUAGCAAAUCUUUUGUAUUGUUUAUAGAUGAUCUGACAAGGAUGUGUUAGGUGUAUUUAUUGAAGUCCAAGUUGAAUGUAUUGUCAAUAUUUAAAGAAUUCAAGAAACUCGAUUAAAAUCAGUGUGAUUGUAAGUUGAAGGUCUUAAGAACAAAUAAUGGUGGAGAGUAUGUGUCCAAAGAGUUCAAUUAUUUUUGUAGAAACUCUAGGAUUCAUCAUCAGCUCACUACUUCUUACACUCCUUAACUAAUUGGAGUUUGUGAAAGGAGAAAUAAAAUUGUUUUGGAGAUGUCAAGAUGUAUGGUUUUUGAAAAACAUCUUCUAAAUUUGUUCUGGGCAAAAGUUGUAUCAACAACUGUAUACUUGUUGAACAGGUUAGAAACUAAGGCUGUAGAUGGGAAAACUCCUCGUAAAGCCUGGUCUGGGUCUAAGCCUUCUGAGAAACACCUUAGAGUGUUUGGUUCUAUUUGUUUUAGCCAUAUAAUGAAAGGGCUUGGAAAAGAAUCUUUGUUGGUUAUUCUUCUCAAUCUAAGGGGUAUAGAGUCUUUAAUCUAAAAAGUAAGAAAGUUGUGGUGAGUAGAGAUGUCAUCUUUGAUAAAGAUUCUUACUGAAUGGGAGAAGAAUGAUGUGUAGAAGCAUGAUUGUGGGUUAAUGCCUGAAGAGGCUAUUAUAACUGAUUAUGAUGAACAUGGUGUGACUAGUAAUGAAUUUGGUGUAGCUGAUACAACUGAUGUUGAGGUUAUCAAAACUAAAUCCUUAGUAAAUGUGUAUGAGAGGUGCAAUUUUGUCUUUGAUGAACCAACCAACUUAAUUGAAGUUGUAAAGGUACCUGAAUGGAUUGAUGCAAUGAAGGUAGAAAUUUCUGCAAUUGAGAAAAAUGACACUUGGUUAUUGACUGAUCUACCUAGCGGUGAACAUGUUAUAAGUGAGAAGUGGGUGUAUAGGACUAAGUUCAAUACUGAUGGCACUAUGUUUAAGCAUAAGGCUAGGUUAGUCAUAAAGGGGUAUGCAUGAUAGGUGGAGUUGACUACGGUGACACUUUUGCACCAGUUGCUAGACACGAUACCAUCAAAUUACUUUUUGCUAUUUCAGGUCAAUUGGGCUGGAAUGUGUUACAUUUGGACGUAAAAUCAAUUUUCUUGAAUGGAGAGCAUGAAGAACAUAUCUAUGUUUGUUAACCUGAAGGUUUUGUGGUUGUUGGAAUGAACAUCAAGUGUACAAGCAUAAGAAGACUCUUUAUGGCCUAAAACAGGCACCAAAGGGCUUGUACUGCAAAAUUGAUUCUUAUUUGCUGAAGUUGGGUUUUGAGAGGAGCAUUAAUGAAGCUACUUUGUAUAUUAAAAAAGGUAUAGAUGCUGAUUUGAUUGUUAUUUCUCUUUAUUUUGAUGAUUUUUUGGUGAUGAGAAGUGAUAAAUGCCAAAAGCAACAUGUUUUAGCCUUAUUCUUAAUGCAAUUUUGGAUGAUUAUUCAAUUUAAAAUGGUGAAUUUUGUGCUUUUAAUCAUUUAAAUUCAUGUUUCUAUACUUAGGAGGGAAUUUGGAAGAAAAAUGAGCGAAAACUAGAAAAUUAGAGCAAGUUUCAGGAGCCACACAAGCUGGACCCUCCCACACGAGCUGGGCACAUAGCUGUGUACAUUUCGUGAAUCGCACUCCAAACAUGCGAAAAACGUAAUUUUUAGGUUUUUCCAGCAUUUUAAGACCUAUAUAUACCAAAUAUAAGAAGAGGGGAGUAAGCCGUCAAAGAAUAUUGAAGAAAACAACUCAGAAAACACCAUUGAAGUCGACUCUAAAGUAGAUUUCCAUCAAGAUUGAAGAUCUCCUUAAUCACAACAUUCCAAUCACACUUACCAUAAACUUGCACAUAAACAUCAUACCUCAUUCACAUAUAUUAUAUAAGUUGACUAUUUGCACUUAAGAUCAUAUUUUAACAUUUUACAUAUCAAAACAAUAGUAAUGGCAUAUAAGCCUAUUACAUGCCAUAUAAUCCAAAAUGAACGGUCCAAAAAUUGCCGAAAAUGAGUGGAUAGUGUGACUUGAAUGCCGGUUCGAUCGUCCAACCUUCAAAGUAUCUACAAGAACAAAAAAUAACACAAGUAAGCUCAUUGAAGCUUAGUAAGUUCGACAUACUAAAAUGAUAAAUCUUAACGAAGUAAGUACAACAAAUCAAAUAAUAAUACAACCAUAUGUGUUCCUUAUCAUCCACAAUCUUAACGGUGAAUUGUAAAAUUCAAUUCAGAACUCAAAUACAUGACAAAACCAUCAAAAAUCACUAAACAAGUUAACUUACCGAUAUUUACAAUCUGAUGAAUGAAUUACGGAUAAGAGUAUAUCGAUAUUCCAACUGAAACACACCAGAUGAUCAUAAGAGCUAAUCCAUCCGAAACACACCAGAUGCUCAUAAGAGCCAGUCCACCUGAUAACAUACCAAUGGCUCCAAAGAGCUAGUCCAACCGAAACACACCAAAACAUAGAGUAUAACACGAAAGUUCGCAAAAAAUUUUGACUCUCGAUCUACUCAGGAAACAUAUAUAUAUCACUCCAAAACAAUCUCCAUUCCAAUACCCUAUAACACCAUUUCUCGAUUGUACUCUAUUCCGCGUUCAAUCCAAUCCAAGUAGAGAAUUUCAAUAAUUUUUCCUUAAAUAACUUUACAUCAUUUAUAAUCAAAUAUAUAUCUUUCAUAUCAUAUUAUAUCAUCAAAAAUUUCAUAUAGAUGUUAAAUUCUACAUUGUACGAACUUAACUGAAUUGAAUUGUAGUAGUUGUAGAAGUUUAGGGACUAUUCUAUAAUUUUUCCUUUCCACGAGUAUCAACUGAGUCUUGACCUAAAAUGUAAAAUUCCUCAAUUAUUAGCUUAAAUUUCACAUUCCAAUUCAAUUUACAAUUUAUACCCUUUUAUUUUUUGAAAUUACACAAUUACCCUAAACUUUUACAACUUUUACAAUUUAGUCCAUUAACCCAAAAAUCAUCAAGUUAACCAUUUUUCUCAACUUAACAUUAUAGUUGAAUAUACUAGGCCCUUAAAUAGUCCUUAAUAAACAUCAAAUUCACUAUCAAACCCUAAAAUUUUGACAUUUUCACAAUUUAAUCCUAAAAUCAAAAUCUAACAAAAAUCACUUCACAAAUUCACCAAAUAACACAAUCAAAGCUUCAAAUACAUAGUUAUCAUAAAAAAAAAUUCAAGAUUCAUCAAUGAAAACUUCUAAAAUUUUUAACAGAUUCAAAAAUGAAGGUACGUGCUAGCUGGAUUUAGUUGCAACGAUAUCAAAAACAUAAAAAUUACCAGAAACGAGUAAAGAAAUCACUGACAUGCAAGGCUUUAUGUUUUGCUGAAUUUGAAGCUCCAAAAAUGAUGAAUUUCUCUUUAAAUUUUUAUGGAAACAUGAAAAAGAUGAUAGCAAAUUUUCUUUUUGUUUUAUUAAUCUUUAAUUAAUUUACUAAAGUACAAAUUUACCCUUAAUUAUAACCUUAUAAAUCAACAAUUUAAAAGCGUAUUAUUGUCCAUAAAUAACCUUAUGGACCAAUUAUUGCCUAAGUCCCUUUUCAUUUAAUAAUUAGACUAUCAAAUCAAUAGAAUUCAAUUGCACUAAAUUUUGCACAAUUUUCAAUUUAGUCAUUUUUCCUAAAUUAACUAUCUAAACGUUAAAAUUUAUUAACCAAAUUUUAAUAUGACCCUAAUACAUCUAUAAAUAUUCUAAAAAUAAUAUUUACAAGUUGAAAUGACAAAAAUUUGUGGUCUCAAAAUCACUAGUUCGUCACCAUUGAAAAUCGUGUUGUUACAUUUAUCAUUCCCCUUUUUAUUUUCUUUUUGUUGAGGGAUGAAAUUACUAUGGGUGAUGGGCUUCAAAAUCAAAAAAUAUAAAUUCUUACAACAAAAUAACAGUAAAUUGAAAUAUAGAGCAGUAGGGUCAAAUCCCCAAGGACUGGUUAUUUAAUUUCGCCUUUUCUCGUGACCAGAAUUACUGUCAUCGUAAUAGUUUUGCCCACAACCUGUGCGUUGCAAUGCUGGAAAAUAAAAAUGGGUUUUAGUUGAUAAAGAUAAUAAUAUUAAAAGAAAAGAAAAAUAUAUGUAUAUAAAAUAAAGUAAAAAAAAUGUGAUCGCACAAUAAAUCAAGCAAAAUAAAAUAAACUGGUAAAUAAAAUAUUUUUAAAGCUUAGCCUUAGCUUCAAUAUACUCCAAACACAAACCAAUCCUUGAAAAAUGGUUUUCCCCUUCCAACCGAUAAGUUGGUUAUAGCAAUCGAGGAUGCCUCAAACCGCCAACUCUUCUUCUCGUAGUCGCUUCCGGUAUGACCUGCAAAUCAGACCCUUAUCAAAAUUUUAACCACGUGGCACGUGCCUAUAAUUUAAGACUUCGAUAGCCUUGUGAUCUGAAAAGCCCAACUCAAAUUAACGGCCUCAUCUGUAUGAGUCAUUUAAAUUCGAUCACUAUUUCCCUUGUCGGAAUCCAACUAGCUUUUUCCAAUUGAACACGCCAAUUUGUUCGCGGCAUUUUGAAUACAGCACGGCUGACUCAAGUUCCCAAUUGUACGCCAAAUGAUUCCAACCCAACAUACAAUUUUUGAAUUGAAAUCAAAUCAACUUUAAGGGACGAAUUUGUACUAUCCCAUAUACCAGAGAGAUAGUGAAUACCAAGUCGCAAAGUAUUUAGUGUGGGUUCAUAUUUCACGAUUAUUUUUCGGAGCAAUAAUCAGACUAAAGCUAAAAAGAGGUUUAGUUAAGCAUGAAAUAAAUUGUGCUAGAUGGAGUAUGGAAGUGGUGGAAUUUGGAAAGGGGAAAGGCCUUGGAAGGUAAUUAAACAAAAAAAAUGUUGAAAGUAAAAGAAAUUUGAAACAGCAGAAUAGAGAGCACGGACGCAGAAAAGAAUAAAAAAGUAAAGAAUUGAUUCAUUCCAAAGCCAAGUCAGCCCAUGUAUUUAUACACAAUUCUAGUGCUAAAAUCUAGCUAAAUUUGCCUUAAAAAUUAUCACUAGAUAAAUCAAAAUUUAAAAAUCAAAAUUUAAACUAAAGAUCAAUUUUAAACUAAUUACAAAUUUUAACAAUAUCAAAAUAAUUUGAUUUUUAUCCAACCAAUUUCAAGUUUUAAAUUUUUAUCCAGCCAACUUCAAACCUUCAAUCUUUCAAUCUACCCUUCCUCUUUGCUUUUUGUUCCAAUUUAGCCCCUUUUUGUAAGAGUUUGAAUUCAGCACAUCAACUUCCUUCCUGAUAAGAAAAACCCAAAUUUAAUAGCAUUUUAUUCGAUAAUUAGCCAAAAAUAAAUGUAUUAAAAAUAAGAAUUUAUCUUGCUAUCAAAUUCCCCCUACUUAGCCGAUACUUGUCCUCAAGCAUGAUAUCCACUAAAAAUAACUCGUCAAUCCUUUUCCAAAUCAAAACCCUCUUUCCUAGUCAAGCAUACUUCAAACAAUUAGCUGAAUAAAAAAUAAACAAUUGUUAAACUCAAUCAAUAAGCAUUUUAUAAAAUCUCGAAUAGUAUGUCAAAUUCAACUAUUUCACUAAAUUUAGGCUUAAUCAAACAUGCGAAACAAUCAUACCCAACAUAUAUUUUUUUUCUAUUUUUUAUUAUAUUAUUAUUUUUCAAACGUAGUCAAGUCUUUUGACACGAAGUGAGAUGACAACCCAAUCAUCUCACCCCGGUUACUUAACCCGACAUGUUCUCUUUAUUUAAUUAUUUAUUUUUAACAAAUUCAAGAAAUAAUCAAACAUUUUGACACGAAACAAGAUGACAACCUAAGCACCUGAUCCCGGUUACUUAAUUUCACAUGUCCCUAAUUGAUUUAUUUCUCCUUUCUAAAGGAAGCUUGGCUAUCAAAGUAUUACAAGUUUCGGCUCAUCAGCAAACCUUUUGACGCGAAAUGAUAUGACAACCCAAGCAUCUCAUCCCGGUUACUCAACUUGAUCACAUUGUUGAAUCUUCACUCUUAACCAAGCUAUUAGCAAAUUUAUUAUUUAUUUAAACAACUAAUUUCACUAGGCAAGUCCAAAAGAACCAACAAUUUUCAUGAAAUAUUGACUAAGGCAUAACAUUUUUAAUUCUAAAAAAUAUUCAUUGAUCAAGCAAGUAAUAGUUAUUCAUGAUUCAUCCACUUAUUUAAAUAAAUUAAGCAUAAGAAUUAGAGGUUUAUUUCCGAAUCGAACUAAGAAAUUAUUCUUAGAAAAACACAUGCAAUGAAUAAAGUAUGGCAUGAUCCUACGAACCCCCUACUUAGCCCACAUUGCCCUCAAUGUGCAAAUGAAAAUAAUAAUAAAUAGAAGGGUCAAGUGUACUCAUUGUGUUAAUUUGGCGAAGGGUGGUUUGGCCAGUUCGGGUUGGUUCUAGUCGGUUUGGUCCUGGGUGUAUGUUUCAACAAAUGACAGCACCGAAAUUUGACAAGGCGUGCCCACACCAUAGAAGUCCAAAUCUGAUUUAUUUUUGGAUGAAAGAGGACAACCUCUACCAUCGUUCCUAGAAAAUACCAUGAUAAAAUAGAUUAAAUAAUAAUCUUAUUUCUUUUAUAUUCAACAUAAAUUAAACUGAAUUCAAAAUUAAAUAAAUUGAAAUAACUUUUGUUUAACGUUGUUAUCUUGAUGACCUGAGUGUUAUUCGUUUGGUUCCUCCAGAAUUAAUUCUUCUACUACAUGCACUUGAAAGUCCUCGUAGAAAGAUCUCAACCUUUUCUCAUUGUUCUUGAAGUAUUUCCUGGAUUCCUCCAUUAUUGGUGGAUUGAGGUGUUUUUGAGCUUUUCCGUUCGGGUUUGCCUUUCCUCCAUCGGAAUUCUUCAAUAUACCGAUAACAGUUUGUAUUCCAGUUCCGGAGCAUGCAAAAUAGAAUGUAAGAGUGUAGUUUUAGAAUGCGACAGUUCAAAAUAUUUACCUUGACUUCUAGGAACUUGUGGAGUUUCCAAUAGAAUACCAGUUUCAUGAAUUGAUUCUCUAAACGUCAUUAUCUUCUGCUAUUUAUCCAUCGUAUUGAGGUCUAAACUCUUGCAAAGUACAGUUUGUAACUCAUCCUCUUCAUGAUACUCUAAAUGAAAUUUCGUUAGUGCUUCAAUAAUAUCAACACUAGAAAUAUUUGACAUUGUGUUAGGUUGACCUAUCGCCUUAUAAACAUUAAAUUUUAUCACCUCACCGUCAAAUUUCAUAGUGAGGGUUCCACUUCAAACAUCAAUUUUUGUACGUGCAGUACUUAGGAAUGGUCUCUCGAGUAGAAUAUCGGAAGCAUUUCUUAAGUGGUCGUCCUCCAUAUCGAUGAUUUAAAAGUAUGUAGGAAAAAUUAGUUCAUUUACCUUAAUGAGGACAUCCUCCAACACCUCUUCUGGAUAUACGAAGGAUUUGUCUGCCAAUUAAAUAAUCACCCCUGUUUCUUUCAAAUGACCCAUGUUUAGCAAUUUAAAAAUAGAUAAAGACAUUACAUUAAUGGAUGAUCCUAAAUCACACAUGGUUUUCUUUAUGCCAAUAUUACCUAUUUUGCAAUGUAUAGAAAACAUACAUUGGUUCUUACACUUAAGGGUGAGCAAAACUCGAUUCGACUCAAAAAAAUCGAAGAAAAAUUCAAAUUUCGAGUUAAACGAAUCAAGUUAUUCGAGUCAAUUCGAAUUUUUUUUGAAUUUCGAGUUCGAAUCAAGUUGAAUUUUCGAAUUCGAAUAACUCAAACAAUUCAAAUAAACUGAAUAUCAAACUAUAAUAUUUUACAUUUUUACCCCAAAUCCUCAAACCUUUUUACUUUUUCCCCAAAACUUUUGCUCAUCAUUUUCCCCCCAAAACUUUUACUCCCCUCUCAUCCCAACCCCCUAUCUACCCCAAAUCUAUUUCCCACCAAUUUUUUUAAUAUUUUUCCUCUAAAAUUUCCCCCCUCAUUUACUUUCCCUCAAAGUUUUACUCCAAAAAACCGUCAAAAAUUUUUAUUUUCUCCCAAAAUUUUUACUCCCUCUUACUUUUUUACUCCCCUCCCAUCCCACCCCAUCUACCCCAAUCCCAUCCCCCCUGUUUUUUUAAUAUUUUCUCUUCAAAAUUUUACUCCCCCUAUUUACUUUCCUUCAAAAUUUUACUCCCCAAACACUUUUUAUUUUCCCUUUAACUUUUACUUUUCAACCUUUACCCCCAAAUAAAAAAUCAAAAUCAUCCAAAAAAAAUCUCUAAACCUAAAUAAUAAUUUUAUUUAUAUCUACUAUUUAUAUUUUUAAAUUAAAUUUCACAUUUUGUACUAUUUAAAUUAUUGAAUUGUUUAAUCAUAUUGAACAGUUAUAUUAAAAUUGAAUUAUUAAUAAUAUCAUAAAAUAUGUGUUAAAAUUUUAUGUUGGUAUCAAUUUCACAUUUUAUCUUUAAAAUAACUUUUGUUAAAUUUUUUUUUUACAUUUAAUAUAUUUUUAAUUUCAAAAUACAUAAUUAGAAGGUAAUUGAAGCAACUAAGUAAGCAAAGAAGCUAACCCGUAUAUAAAAUAUUAAUAAAUAAAUUAUGAGGUGAUGAAAGUUAAUAACAAAUUUGAUUACGGUGGACAAAUUUGAUUACGGUGGGUGACAGUGGUUACAAGGACCCAAAAUUAUCUUUUAAAAUUUAACUCAAACAAAUAUAUUCAAUUCAAUUCAAAUUCCAUCUCACUCGACUCAAUUCGAGAAAAUUUCAAAUCGAGUUAGGAUGAUAAAAUAUGAUUCGUUAACUCGAUUAACUCGAAAGUUUUUCAUUUGAUUCAAUUUGAUCCAAUCAAAGGCUCACCCAUACUUACACUUAUGCGGGAUUUUCCUUUGUAACAUUGUAGAAAAAUUUUCUCCCACAUUCACCCAUUCGUUUCCUUGGAGUUUCUUUUUGUCGAUGCACAACUCUUUCAAGAAUUUUGCAUAGUGUGGAACUUGUUUAAUUGCAUCAAGUAAAGGAAUAUUGAUUUCUACCUUCCAAAAUGUCUCAAGGAUUUCUCUCUUCUCGCUCUUUUUUAAUUUGGACGAGCCUUCCAGGGAAUGGGGGUGGUACAACGAAUGGUUUUUGUGGUGCCAACUUUGUGGGACUUGUUGGUUCAAGUUUCUAUUUUUUUUUGUUCAGUGUCGUGACCAUCACUGUCAUAGCACUUUUCAAAACUGUUCCAAUUUUCAAUGUCAUAGUAUUUACAUUAAGUUGAGGAUUCAACUCAAUUUGAGACUGCAAUCUCCCUUGGGUCUCCAAACGACUAACCGUAAGCGUAAGCUUACUUAUUUACUAAUCUAGUUCUUGGAAAUGUGCUUCAUUCUUUUCUUCGAACUUUUCGGUGCUAAUGACUGACCUUUCUAUUAUGGUUUCAAGAGAUGACUUUGGAGGUUAAUAUUGCUGAGAUGGAGGUGGCCUUACUGGAUUUGAUUGAUUAUAUUGAGGGUUUGAUCCAUAGCUCAGGUUUGGGUGAUCCCUCUACCUUGCAUUGUACGUGCUUGAAUAUGGAUCAUAACGCCUUUGAAGUGGCUCUGGGAAGUUUCCAACAACGUUUACUUGUGUAGUUCUGUCCUCAAGUAAAAUCGGGCACGAGUCGGUAGGAUGAUUAGGCUUAGCGCAAACCCCGUACAACUGAGCUGGGUUCGUUUUUCCUGCAAGCAAAUUUUUAACCACAUUAGUAAGUUCAUCAAUCUUAUCUACUAAGGAAAGAGUACCGAGCUUAUGAACCCUUCUCGUAGGUUCCAUAGGUGGCCGAUACUGUUGAGAAUUUAUAGCCAUAGUCGAAAUUAAUUCUCUAGCUCUUUGAGGAGUCAUGUUCACAAGCGCCCCCCGCUAGCGACAUUAAUCAUUUUCAUUUCCAUUGGGAGUAACCCCUCAUAAAAAUAUUGUAAGAGCGAUUGUUCAGACAGGCCAUGUUAUGGGCAUCUUGCACACAACUUAUUGUAUCGCUGCUAAUAUUCAUAGAGUGACUAUGCUUCCUUUUGUUGUAUUCCGACUAUACUCCUCCUUAAUCCGACUGCUCGAGCUGCUGGGAAAAACCUAUCAAAAAAUAUCUUUGGUGUUUCUUCUGUCGGAUAAGUUAUGAUAGCGGUUGUUGUUCACCUGGUGCUGCUGCAAGUUGGCGUAUAGUUUGAUCUGUCAUUUCGUCUAAUUUCUCAAAUGAGAAAAUAUCUUUGGUAUAAGAUCCUACUUCGAAGUGGGAUGUAGUCCUUUACCAUGUUGAAUAGCUUCUCUUCGCAAUGUUCGAGCCAACUUCUUUAUUUUCGGUUCAAAUUCUACAGUCCCCAGUUUUGACCUAGUCAUAAAGAAAACAAACAAAAAUUAGAAAAAAAAAUUUAGUCCUCGGCAAUGGUGCCAAAAUCUGAUGGGUGUCGAAAUCACCAAAUAUAAAUUCCUACAAAAAAUAACAGUAAAUUAAAAUAUAGAGCAGUAGGGUCAAAUGCAUAGGGACUAGUUAUCUAAUUUCACCUUUUCUUAUGACGAGAAUUACUGUCGUCGUAACAGUCAUGCCCAUGACCUGUGCGUUGCAAUGUUGGAAAAUAAAAAGGGGUUUUAGUUGAUAAAGAUAAUAAUAUUAAAAUAAAAAAUAUAUGUGUAUAUAAAAUAAAGCCAAAAAAAAUGUGACUGCAAAAUAACUUAAGGAAAAUAAAAUAAAUUGGUAAAUAAAAUAUUUUUAAAGCUUAGCCUUAGCCUCGGUGUACUCCGAACUCGAAUCGAUCCUUGAAAAAUGAUUUUUCUCUUCCAAGUGAUAAGUUGGUUAUAGUAAUCGAGGACGCCUCAAACCGUCAGCUCUUCCUCUCAUAGUCGAUUUCGGUACGACUUGCAAAUCGACCCUUAUCAAAUUUCUAAUCACGUGGCACGUACCUGUAAUUUAAGACUUUGAAAGCCUUACGAUUUGAAAAGCCCAACUCGAAUUAAUGGCCUCAACAAUUUGAGUCGUUUAAAUUCGAUCACUAUCUCCCUUGACGGAAUCCAACUAGCUUUUUCCAAUUGAACACGCCAAUUUUUUCGCGGAACUUUGAAUACAACAUGGCCGACUCAGUUCCCAAUUGUAUACCAAACAAUUCCUACCCAACGCGCGCUUUUUGAAUUGAAAUCAAAUCAACUUUAAGGGACGAAUUUGUACUAUCCCAUAUACCAGAGAGAUAGCGAAUACCGAGUCACAAAGUAUUUAGCAUGUGUUCAAAUCUCACGAUUAUUUGUCGUAGUGGUAACCUGUUUAAGGCUAAAAAGAGGUUUAGUUAAGCAUGAAUAAAUCAUGCUAGAUGGAGUAUGAAAGUGGUGGAAUUUGGAAAGGGGAAAGGUCUUGGAAGGUAAUUAAACCAAAAAAUUUGUUGAAAGUAAAAGAAAUUUGAAACAAGAAUAGAGCACUGACAUAGAAAGGAAUAAAAGAAGUAAAGAAUUGAUUCAUUCCAAAGCCAAGUCAGCCCAAAUAUUUAUACACAAUUCUAGUGCUAAAAUCUAGCUAAAAUCAAACCUUCAAUCUUUCGAUCUACCCCUCCUCUUUAUUUUUUUGUUCUAAUUUAACCUUAUUUUUGUAAGGAUUUGAAUUCAACACACCAACUUCAUUCCUGAUAAGAAAAACUCAAAUUUAAUAGCAUUUUAUUCGAUAAUUAACCAAAAAUAAAUGUAUUAAAAAUAUAAAUUUAUCUUGCUAUCAAUUGGGAUUCCAAACAAAAGGUUAAAGCAAAUUAACAUUUAUAUGUUUGAGACUUUUUGUUUUGAAUGAUUAAUGGGUUUAUAAUAAAAGAAUUCAGUUUGGUUUGGAGGAUAAUCGUAAUUUUUAAUGUAUAUUCUAAAAAUCAUCCAAAUACCAUAUUCCAAAUCAAAAUAUUGUCAUUUUAAAGAUCAAAGUAGGGGUGAGCAAAACUCGAUUCGAUUCGAAAAAAUCGAAAAAAAAAUCGAAUUUCGAGUUAAAUGAAUCGAGUUAUUCGAAUCAACUCGAAUUUUUUUUUCGAAUUUCGAGUUCGAAUCGAGUUGAGUUUUCGAAUUCGAAUAACUCGAAUAAUUCGAAUAAUUCGAAUAUUAAACUAUAAUAUUUUACAUUUUUACCCUAAACUCCCAAACCUUUUUACUUUUCCCUUAAAACUUUUACUCCUUCCCACUUUUCCCCCAAAACUUUUACUCCCAUCCCAACCCCCCAAUCUACCCAAAAUCCAUUUCCCACCAAAAUUUUACUCUCCCAUUUACUUUUUCUCAAAAUUUUACUCUAAAAAACCCUCAAAACAUUUUAUUUUCCCCCACAAUUUUUACUUCCUCCCACUUUUCCCCUAAAACUUUCAUUCCCUUCCCAUCCCAUCUCCUACCUCCUAUCUACCCCAAACCCUCCCCCCUCCAAUUUUUUUUAAUAUUUUCCCUCCAAAAUUUUACUCCCCCUAUUUACUUUCCCUCAAACUUUUAGGGUCUGUUUGAUUGACGGAAUUGAUUUUCUGGAAAAUCAUUUCCAACUUUUCCAGCGUUUGAUUGGCAGAAAACAUUUUCCAUUUGGAAAAUGAACUCCAAAACAAGGGAAAAUGGAUUACAUUUUAGGGAAAAUGUCUUACCUUUUCAAUUUCCGUAAGACAUUUUCCGUGCUCUCCUCUCUAUCGCCUCCUUCAUUCCUUCCUUCAUUUCCGGUAGAAAACUACUUCUGUUUAUCGAUAUUCCAGUAACUUAUUUUUUUAAUUAUUCAAUACUUGUUUUUUUAACACAAUUACAAAUAAUUUAUUUGAUAUUAGUUUUUUUUCAAUUUAUAACGAUUAAUAUUGUAGCUUAAUAAUUGAGUAUUAUUAUAAAUAAAUCAUUGCAAUAUAUGUAAAAAUAAUUUAAAAUAUAAAAAUUUAUUAAUAUAUAUUAAUAUAUGUAAAAAUAACUUUUUCAGAAAAUAUUUUCAGGGAAUCUGCCAAGCAGCAGAAAAUAUUUUACACAGAUUCAAUCAAACACCAGAAAAUAUUUUCCAGUAAAUCAUUUUACAGAAAAGUAAAACAUUUUCCAGAAAUUAUUUUACGGAAAAUAUUUUACUGGCAAUCAAACAGACCCUUAUUCUCCAAAACUUUUUAUUUUCCCCUUAAACUUUUACUUCUCACCCUUUACUCUCAAAUAAAAAAUCAAAAUUAUUCAAAAAAAAAUCACUAAACAUAAAUAGUAAUAAUUUUAUUUAUAUCUACUAUUUAUAUUAUUAAAUUAAAUUUCACAUUUUAUAUUAUUUAUAUUAUUGAAUUGUUUAGUCAUAUUGAAUAUUUAUAUUAAAAUUGAAUUAUUAAUUAUGCCAUAAAAUAUUCGUGUUAAAAUUUUAUAUUGGUAUCAAUUUCACAUUUUAUUUUUAAAAUAACUUUUAUUAAAAAAUCAUAUUUUUACAUUUAAUAUAUUAUUUAAUUCUAAAAUACAUAGUGACAAGAAUCUAAAGAUAAUUCAAAGAACUAAGCAAGCAAAGAAGCUAAUCAAUAUAUAAAAAAUUAAUAAAUAAAUUAUGAGGUGAUGAAAGUUAAUAAAAAAUUGAUUAAGGUGGACAAAUUUUAUUACGAUGGGUGACAAUAGUUACAAGGACUCAAAAUUAUUUUUUAAAAUUUAACUCGAACAAAUAUAUUCGAUUCGAUUCGAUUCGAAUUCCAUCUCACUCGACUCGAUUCGAGAAAACUUCAAAUAAAGUUAGGAUGAUAAAAUGAGAUUCGAAAACUCGAUUAACUCGAAAAUUUUUGAUUCGAUUCGAUUCGAUUCGAUCGAAUGCUCACCCCUAGAUCAAAGUACAAUUUUAACUAUACUAACUUAAAGAUUUUAUAAAUUGUAAAGGCGCCAAAAAUCAAAAUUUCCCAUUUUAGGCCCCCGGCGUAGCGCCGGCAUUGCUAUUUUUCAAGCCAUCAGUUUUGACAGGCACAUAUUUCAAUAUCAGAAACCUGUAUAACUUAAGAAAUGAGAUUUUCUGAGCAAAAAGAACAGUUUACCCUUAAGUUUUGCAUAGGUUUACCAUGGAUAAGUUGCUCCCCUUGUCCUUCACCUUCCUUGUGUUCAUUUUCAUGGUGUUUAAACUAUGGAUGAGAUCCAAAAUAAAGGAGACACCCAAAAAUCUACCUCCUGCACCAUGGAAACUACCUAUUAUAGGGCACUUGCAUCUUUUAAUAUUUGCUCUUCCCCAUCAGCGCUUGGCGGAAUUAGCCAAAAGACAUGGUUCCCUGAUGCACCUAGAACUUGGUGAAUUAUCAUACGUUGUUGUUUCUUCUCCAGAGGCUGCUAAAGAAGUGAUUAAAACACAUGAUAUCAAUUUUGCUAACAGGCCCUUUCUCCUUGGUGCAGAAAUCGUAUUAUACAAUCUUUCAGAUAUUGCUUUUGCACCAUAUGGAAGCUGUUGGAGGCAACUUCGAAAAGUUUGCACAUAGGAGCUACUCAGUAUGAAACGAGUACAAUCAUUCCGUUCAGUCAGAGAAGAGCAGGUGUCAAGUUUAAUUAGAUCCAUCUUUUCUAAGACAGGAAAGGAAAUCAAUCUUGGAGAAAUGUUAUGCAAUUUAUCAUAUAACAUCACUUUAAGGACUGCUUUCGCAGGAAGGUGCAAGAAACACGAAGCAUUCAUUUCAUUUCUCAAGAAAUUCGUGGAAGCUAUGGCUGGUUUUAAUAUUGCUGAUCUAUUUCCAUCCAUCAAAUUUCUUCCGUAUCUCAGUGGGAUGAGAGCCGAACUUGAGAGGUUUCACCAUGAUAUAGACACAAUGCUUGAAAGCAUCAUUCAAGAACAUAGAGAUAGCAGUGCAAAUCCGGAGGACAGUGUUGAUGUAACAGAGGAUCUAGUUGAUGUUCUUCUGAAUCUUCAGGAUCAUGGAGGACUUGAGUUUCCCUUAACAAUUAACAACAUCAAAGCUGUUAUCCUGGUUAGUGGUUUGAUAUAUCAUAUCUUGCGUGUUUAUAUAUGGGUUUAUAUAGUCCUAUAUAAAUUUAACAUGCUCAAACAUCAAAUUACUUCAAACUUCAGGUUGAUAUCUUUGGGAAGCAAGAUUUAUUCAGUGUUCAAAUAUAUGAUUCCUUGCUUCUUUUAGUUGCUUGAAAACUGUAAAAAGAUGUUUUGUACCGUAACUAAGUAGAACUUCAUUUCAGGACAUUCUCAUGGGUGGAACUGAGACAUCUUCAACUCUAGCAGAAUGGGCAAUGUUGGAAAUGAUGAAAAAUCCUAGGAUCCUUGGAAAAGCACAAGCCGAGGUGAGGGAACUCUAUGAUAAAACAGGGGAUGUUAAUGAGUCAAACCUUGAUGAACUGAAGUACUUAGAAGUUGGUUAUAAAGGAAACUCUAAGAUUACACCCUCCUCUACCUUUGCUAAUUCCAAGAGAAAAUAGUGAGAGAUGUGAGAUUAAUGGAUAUGAGAUACCAGCCAAGACCAGAGUGAUUGUUAAUGCAUGGGCAAUUGGAAGAGAUUCCAACUACUGGAAUGAAGCCGAGAGGUUCUAUCCAGAGAGAUUCAUCGAUGGUUCAGUUGACUAUAAAGGGACUAACUUCGAGUUUAUUCCAUUUGGUGCUGGAAGGAGGAUAUGUCCUGGCAUGUCGUAUGGUAUGGCUGUUGUCGAGCUUUCCCUUGCAAAAUUACUAUCCCAUUUUGAUUGGAAACUCCCCAACGGAAUGAAAAAUGAGGAUCUAGACAUGACCGAGGCUUUUGGCGUUUCUGUUAAAAGAAAAAACGAGCUCCACGUUAUUCCCAUUCCGUAUUGUCAAUAGAGUACGGCGGGGUCAAUUUACUAAACUCAUCUACUUUUCAAAAAUAAAUCCACUCUAUUCGAAACAAAUUAGUACAAAAUUCAUCGAAGGCUCAAAAUUUGUCAUUCCUAUAAUCACUUAUCAUCAUGUGUUAAAUAUUUAAAAUAUAUGUAUUUCACAUGCCAGUGAAAAGAUUGUAAAAUCACAUUCUAAAUUGGAGUUGUUGCUUUUUUUUUUAAUUCGUGUUUGAAUAAUGUUCCCUUUAAUUUUUACCUUGAGGUAGGAGCAUAUUGAAAAGACAAGUGUGUUGUUAUUCAGCUAAGAGUGUACUUCGAUGUUUAAAUUGGAAUAUUGGGUUGUUUCUCUUAGAUUAGGUUGGCAACUCAACAAUAUAGCUUUGGGUAAAUAACGACAGUUGGGAGAACCCAGAAACUUUGCAUUUACGUUUAGCCGCCUCGAAAUUCCAAAUUUUGGGAAGUGACUUUCUUUUGGAAUAAACUAUAUAGAGUCUUUAUAUUUUGUCAAGUUGGUCAUUAAUGUUAAAAGAAUUAACCAAACAAAUAAUUCUACUAUUAAACUCAUCUAUUUCGCGGUUAAUUCUUUUUAUUCUUUCAUUCUUUAUUAUAAUUUUUCCUUUCCAUUCUCUCUCCUCUCCUGAGCUUCUUAAUAUAAAUUUUCCAUGAGCUUUUAUAAAACACAAAUUUUUAAUCGGUUCUUCUUAUAAGCUUCUAACAACUACAAAGAUCAUAAAUUAUUUACUCAAAUUCCUAAUAAAAACACAAUUUUCUAACCAAAUACUCAAAGUCUUAUUGGAAAUCUAACUUCGUAAAAAUUCUUAAAAAUUUGUAAAAAAUGUUAAUUAAAAAUCAUAAAAAUUAUAAAAUUAUUAUUUUGGCAUUAUAAAUUUUACAAUUUAUAUUAAUAAUUUUUUUUUAUAUUUUUUUAAAAUUUUUUACAAAGUUAGGUUUCCAAUAGGACUUUGAGUAUUUGGUUAUAAAAUUGUGUUUUUCAUUAGGAGUUUGAGUGAAUAGUUUGAUUUUGGUAGUUAGUAGAGAAUGUUGUUAUAUAUGAGAUAUAUUGUGAUUUAGGGGAUACUUUGUUAUGUAUCAUAUAUAGUUGAUGGUUAGAAAAUAUUAUUGGAACCCAAUUUUGUAAAAAUUCUUAAAAAAUUGUUAAUUGAAAAUUUUAAAACUUAUAAUGCAAAAAAAAACAUUAUAAUUUUUAUAAUUUUUACAAAUUUUCAUUAACCAUUUUUUUUACAAUGUUUACAUUGUUUUAAGAAUUGGUAAUUGUGUUUUUUUCUCUAGAAAUUUAAGUAUUUGGUUUACUGAGACGUGGUACCACGUUGGCAAAAGUACACCCUGCUGAAUACGUUUUCACUAAAAGCAUAUCCAAUGGAGUACGCUUUUACCCAAUAAAUUUUAAAAAAAUUCCAAAUCGUUGGAUGCAAACAAUUAAAAAAUCAGGGCUCUUGAAUUUUUUUUAACGGUUGGCCUAAUGAUUAAAUAAAUUUUAAAUAAAAAUAUUUAAUUUCAACAGUGAAAGAAAAAAAGAAAAAAUUUCCCAAAGUCCCUAAAAUCCCAUAUUUAUGUCCAAACCAAAUUCAAUGUUUUCUCAUUCUAUUCCAUCAAUACUAAAUUUAAUUUUCAUUCUCAAAAUUCAUUUCCUCUCAAUUUUCUAUCUCAAUUCCUAAAUUGAUUACAAAAUAGUAGGAGUGUGCAAAAUUUGAGUAAAACCGAAAAAAUUCGGUUAACCGACUGAAUUCUAUUAAUCGGUCGGUUAAUCGAAUUUUUUCGGUCGGGGUCGGUUAAUUAUUUUUUUAUUUUUUGGUUAACGGUUAAAUUGGUUCAAAACCGGUCGGUUAACCGAAUUUUUUCGGUUUAACCGAAAAAUUAAUAAAUAAAUUUAUAAUAUAUAAAUAGGCCCACUAUUCACCUAAACCCAAUCCAAACCCAAGUAUCCAACCCAACCCAACCAUAAAAAUUAAAAAUAAUUUAAUAAAUAAAAAUAAAAUUCUAAAACUAAAACUAAAGUCUAAAAGUCUAAACUCAAUAGUGAACAGACGACAGGAAAAAAAACCUAACCUUAAACUUCAAAUCCCUAAUUGAAAACUCCCAAAAUCUCUACCAGGCCAGCCGCCUUCCUUCCGGCACUUCGGCGUCUACCAGGUCACCAUCCAUCACCGGCGAGUUGAGGUAGGCUUUUAAUAGCUCAAGAGUACUUUCACCAACUAAAGCCUCCAUUUCUGCGAAUUCUGUUUUAAGAAUGAAACUAGAUCGAUGUUCAUAAUCCCAAUAGAUAUCAGCUAAUAUUUGUAUUUACGAACUGCUGCAUUUCAUCUCCGCACCCGAACCCGAACCUGUUUCAUCUUCAUGUAAUAACCCUUUGAUUGCUUCAUGUAAUAGCAAUGUUCUUUUCUUGCAUGGUUGAGAUUUGCAAACUGUCCAAAAAAACAUAAUUAAUAAACCAAAAAAAUAAAAAUAAAUUAUUUUUAUUGAAUAUUUUGAUUGAAAAAAUAAAUGAUUCUCAUAGUUAUGGUUGGGAGCUGUUGUCCAAAUGUUGAAAAUUCAGCAUAUAAAUUCCUUGAUUUAAAAGCCAUAAACUACUCUUUUAAAUGAAUGGAAGUUUGGUUGACAUUUUUUUUACAAUUUGGCUACUGUUUUUAAAGUUUAUAUGUUGACCAAAUGCUAGAAAAUUAGCAUACAUACUCCCUUGUUUAAAAAGCCUUGAGUUGUUGUUUAUUGAUUUUAAUGCAAUGUAUUGUUACUGUUUGCAUGUUGUCAUAAAUUGAAUUAAAGUUAUUGUUUGAGUGUUUCAAAUUGAGCAUUUUGACACUGUCUUAAAUUGAAUCAAGCUGCUGUUUUAGUGUUUCAAAAAGAUUGAAGAACAAAUCCAAGAGCUUGACAAGAUUGAAAAUGGUAUAUUUAUUGUUUUAUUUUAAUAGUUUUAAUUUUUUUACCAUAUCACUCCUACUUAUUUAAUUGAUUCAAUGUUUAGACUUUUCUUGGAAUGCAUCAAAGCCUACCCUAAAUUCAUGAGCUUUCGUGAGUUGAAGGGUAUGCUUACUAUAUUAUUCUUGUUAACUUAUAAUCUAUUCGUUUGUUUAUAUUAUUUGAUUUUUUUUAAAUGUGUAUAUUUCUAUUAUAUGCUAAAUUUUUGCACAUGAUUUUUUUUUGUAGGUUUAAUGUAAAUGGAGAUCUUUUGGAGAGAAGAAAUGAAUACAAAUAGAAAAUAUUAAAAACUUGCAUUUCAAUUAUGUAUUAAUUUCAAGACUUAUGUAAUGUUAGUGGUUCAAAGGCUUAUGUAAUGUUUUUAAUUAUGUAGUGAUUCAAUUCGGUUAAUUUGAAUAAUUCAGUUAAUUCGGUUAAUUCGGUUAAUUCGGGUAAUUCGAUUAAUUUUUAACCAAAAAUAAAAAUAUAUAUAAUUUUCAGUUAAUUCAGUUAACCGACCAAAUUAACCGAAAAAAUUUAGGUUCGGUUAAUUUUUUUGAAAAAAUUUCAGUUCGGCUAACGGUUAAAAAUUUUGAAAGGUUUGUUAUUUUGGUUAAUAUUAUUUCAGGUCGGUUAAUCGACUGAACACCCCUACAAAAUAGUUUGCUAUCUUUAAAUUCAUUUCGUGUCUUCAUUAGAUUUUCAUCAUCUCAAAUAUUUCAAGUAACAUGAUUUUUAAAGUGUUUAAAAUUUUUAAUAAUAGAAUUAAGUUGUUUGCAUCUAUCAAUAUAGUGUGGAAAUAUAUUAUUUUUAUGUUAAAUAAAUUGUUAACUUUAGUAGUGUUUUAAAAGUAUCAUAAAAUUUUGUAUGCGUUGUUAGAAUUUUACAUAAAAAUUUUGGGUGAUUUUCUAUGAUGAAAUGAUAUUUGAUUUUUAUGUAUCCCAGUGGCUCCUACAAUGCUUGGCAUAUAGCAUAAGUGCAACCGUUGCUCAACAACUGUGGAAGAUAUUUUUCGUUUGAUAAAACCAUAUAAAAACCAAAGAGUAGCACAUGGGCAUCAAUACUUCUAGGUAGUUCUAUUUACGGGUCGGGUUAUUCGUCCAACCCGUAUUUCGAGUCGGAUUGGACUUGGAUAAACAUAAAAUAUAUUAAAAUCAUGUUUAGGUCCGUCCCAAAUCUGACCCGAUCCAACCCAUGAAUACUUCUACUUCCAGGUUAAGGGUUAAAAAGUUAAAUAUUUUUAAGUUUUAAAUUUGGAUAUUGUGGAUGAAAAAUGUUUAUGAUAGAACUUAUUUGGAGGGCGAUUUUGUUCUCUUAACUUAAAAAAAUGGAUAAAUUAGUUUUAAUAUAUUAGAUCAAAGUGUAAAUUGAUCAUUUUUGCUAAAAAUUCUAUUUAUAUUUAUUGUUAAAAACUGACGUGGUUAAUGGAAUAACCAGAAAGUGACAUGUGGCAUGCUACUUGUACCUCAUACUAGUGUACAUGAACCGAAUUUUAACAAUAGAAUUAGAUGAAAUUUUUAAUAGAAUUACCAGAUUAAUCUUUGAUCUAAUAUAUAGGAAUUAAUUUACCCAUUAAUUUUUUAAUAAAGGGGCAAACCGCAAUCUAAGUCUUAAUAAAUAAGCAUUCAUGAUACUUUUAACAACUUAUCUUUCGUUUAAGAGAUUAACCUGAUUUGAAUCGAAACUCAAUAUGAUUAUAAGAUGUAGAAAGAAUAUCUCAUUAAAGAAAAUAUCACGAGGGCAUAUAAGAAUGAUUCAAUUGGGAAUGUGGUUCAAUUAGAUAACAACGCAGUGUCCUCUAUGGUAGAUUUAUGGUUGUCAUCCCCAAAAUAAAAGGCAAAUGCCAACAAAGGUCAUAAUCAAGGCCCCAUCCUUCUUUCGUCAUCAUCCUUCAAAGCAUAUACUCUCAAAUUCUUGGUAUCAAAUGACCUUUUAUUAUAACACCCCUAACCCGUCUCCGUCACCGAGUUAGGGUUACGAAGUAUUACAAAACAAUAAAAAACAUAUGAACAUUUUAUCAAUCAGUACAAUAAUCAUAUUAUAAAGCUUUCAUACUCAUGCAAAACGUCCCUAAGUCGAGCCCUCAAGACUCUAAAAAUAACAUAGAAACAAUUUGGGACCAAUUUGAAAUAGUUUAAAAAGUUAAGGAAAAAGAUGCAAAAUUUGCAAAAUAGGAAUCACACGGCUGUGUGCCUCACACGACUGAGACAUACACCCGUGUCUCAGGCCGUGUAACAAUCAAAUUAGGGACACAUAGCCGUGUCUCAGCCCGUGUCCUCACCCGUGUAACUUAUUAAGUAGGGUCACACGGUCGUGUCACACGCCCGUGUGCUAGGCCGUGUAACUCAUUGACUUGCACCCUAAAGAACUCAUGUAAUAGCCCGUUUUUAGUGAAAUCAGAAUAGUGGUUUCGGGACCACAAAUCCAAGUCCGAAAGAAAAUUUAUUUUAAUAUUAUUUUUAUGGUCUGUAUAAUGAUAGGAAUACCAUAAGAAAAAAUUCGUUACUAAAUUUUACUGAUUUCAUGUUUAAUCUGAUAAAAAGGACCAAAUUGCAUAAAGUGCAAAUGGUCUGUAUAGUUGAUGGUUAGAAAAUAUUAUUGGAACCCAAUUUUGUAAAAAUUCUUAAAAAAUUGUUAAUUGAAAAUUUUAAAAUUUAUAAUGCAAAAAGUUAAUUUUAUAAUUUUUAUGAUUUUUACAAAAUUUUAUUUUACCGCUCAACAAAAUUUGUUUUUUUCAACCAAAAUGUUAUUAUAAUAUAUUUUAUGCAUUCCAAUUUUUAUGUAUUCUUUUACCAUGGACUGUAUAUCUAAUUUAAUCUAAUAUAAUACUUAUAUUUAAGCACUUAAUUAAAUCAGUGUCACCUUUAAGUGGGUCAUUUUAAUGAGGUAUUGUCACUCUUAAUAGGGCCACCAACAAAUAGGGCCACCAACACAAUUAUAAAAUUAUAGAAAUACUAAUUUUUUUAAAUAAUACUCCAACCAAAAAUAAUAUUAGUGUUAUCCUAAAUGAUUCUAGCCUCAUUCAUUUCUUCCACAAGUCUCCUAAUCUCAUUUUUUUUGCACCAUCGCAUACCUAUAAGGUUUGAGCUUUACAACUUGAGACUUAUAUUUUAUAUGGAUUUGAUGAUCUUGAACUUUAUGUGGUGGAAACCCUUAUCGAAGUUAUAAAACAACGUGAUAUUUCAGCACCAAGUAUGAAAGGUCACUAGAUAACUUAAGUGAAUGAAUAUCCAACUCCUUUGUAGUUUAGAUUUUAGUCAUUAAUAGUGUAAAAGCUUGCAAAGAAUAGUCGAGAUGUUGAUAAAUUGCUUACAUGUAAGAACAAAAAUUGCACUUGCGAGCAACCCUUUCAACUGAUUUUUUUUACCUAGAAAAAAUUUUAUGGUGAGCUCAUUGAAACCCCAAAGAGCAGGGUCGAACUCUGUAAACCAUUAUACUCUCAAAACCAAGUCAUACUCCAGUAAUGGUAAAACCAAAAGAUAAGUACAUUGUGAAAGACCUUGUGACAUCCAAGAAACCCCCUUACACAAGUCUUGUGCAUACAUAUUAGCUCACUAUAUUAUUCACUAACACUUGCACUCCUCUGUUAUACCUCAUUUGAGUUAAGACACGUGGUAAGCUAGAAAGGCACCCAAAUAGUAAGCCUGCCACAACCUAACCAGGAGGUCACCUAUGUGUUUUCCCUUUUAGGAUGACCAUUCGAACAGGUGCAGAUCAUCUGUUGUCCAAGUCUUAGCGUCUUCAUUGGGAACGUGAAGUUGUUAAUUACCAAAUAGUAUGUGGGCUCAAUUGCUCCAUACCACCAAGUCAGAAUAAAUGAUAAGAUUUGUCCCAUUAUAGACAUCCUUGUUUCAUCGAAGUCAUCCACCCCACACGUUCCAUAAUGAUGAUUUAAUGGCAAGUCCAACACGUUAACACGAACUUACGCGAAACCCUCACCUAUAAAUACCUCCAAGAACGAGGAAGAAAUGAUCGACUCUCAAAGGUACCAAGCUUACAUUCUGUUAAUAUGAACCAUUUUGACAAAUAAUCUAAUAGGCAUGCCAUAAAAGUAAGCAUUAUAUUAAAAAAUAAAUAUAUUCUGCAAUUUCCUAUCUAAACCUCAAUUUUAGAAUUGAGAGUUAUCCUCUUAUAUUUAUUGUUUAGAUAGGAAAUAAUUACCAAAAUUAGGUUUGAGGUUUUGCGUUCAAGGUAAAAUAAUUACCAAAAUUAUGUGUCAAUAACAUAAAAAAAUUGCACAAAAAAUUAUUAUUAUUUUAAAUUGGUUGCACUAAAAUAAAAAAUAUUAACUUAUGGAGAAAAAUAAAAUGAUUAAAAUUUGUAAAAGAAGAAAAGAUUUGUUUCAUCGAAGUCAUCCACCCCACACGUUCCAUAAUGAUGAUUUAAUGGCAAGUCCAACACAUUAACACGAACUUACGCGAAACCCUCACCUAUAAAUACCUCCAAGAACGAGGAAGAAUAGAUCGUCUCUCAAAGGUACCAAGCUUACAUUCUGUUAAUUCACAUUUAGCCCUCAACCUUCAUACUCUUAUAAUUUUUACUCUUUAUAACCUCUAACUCUUCACCCCAAUUAGGUGAACUGACCUUCACAACAAUUAACACAUUCUCUUCCAUAUCUUCUCUUUGUUGUAUUACUGUAUCAACGAUUGGUGCAGUGAGCAUGGCAAUAUGGCUCCACAAUCUUAAAAUGGAACCCUUAUCAACCAAACCAACCAGACCAAUGACCUUGCCAACUAGACUAACUUCCUUGCUCCACUCAUUACCCCAUUUCACCUGCUUUAGGAACUCCCAUUGACUUGAACUUUACCCAGACUCCUUCUACUUCUAACCUGCAGGAACCCUUUUGUAAUACGCAAGUUCUCUUCUUUCCAUUUUAGAGCAACUUAUAAAUGCCUUAAAGGAUCCUCACGUCUCCAGCCCAGUUUUUCUUACUGCACUAACAAACGUCACUCGCCAGACUACUCCCGUCCCACCAGCUACUGCAAAGUAUCAACAACCACAAGGUGUUCCCACCCUUAGGCUUUUGGACCAAAUAGCUUGUUGUUUGUAAGAGGUUGUAACUUGCCUUACAACUACACCACUUUCACCAACUGUAACCCCCAUCCCACUAGAUCAAGGCUCUCAUCAAUAAGCCUCAAGCCCCCAACCCCAUGACUUUGAAACCUAAGAGAAGUUAUGACAUUUGGAAGAGUAGUUCUCCUAGUAGAAGUAUUGUUUUAAAGAACAGGAAGAGCAACAACACAUUCUUGAUCAAAGGAAUACAUAGAAUAAGCAACAUAUUGAUAAGCUAAGAGUUGUUUGGGAGGUCCUAGGCGAGAAAACCUGGGCCGUUAGGAAGAUAAAGCUUAGUCUACAUUCCGUGGAGAAUGCAGUCAUAAUAAUUUGAAUGGACUUCAUAGGAAUAAUACUAACCUUCUGGCAGUAUCCUAACAUUCCCAAGGCAACAAAAACAUUUUUGUAAAAGAAUAGCUUAAAGCCUUCAGGUUUGAAAACAGUUUUCUUACACAGUGAAAAAUUAAAAUUUUGAAAAUCGACUCAGUUUGUGAUAUUUAUAACAAUAAACCUUAGAACGAAAUCAUACCUGUAUUUUCGGAUAAACGGAUCUUUGAUGUUUUUCAGCUUUCAACCAAAUGAUCUUUUUCGCUAUUCUCGUAUCACGAACUGCUCUGAGUGUGGGAUCGAACCAAUUGAAUCAAAAUACAGAAAUAGAAAAAGUUUUCUUUUCUUUUGGGGGUGAAAACAAAAAUUCUCUCUUCUUUAAUAGAAACCGGUAGAAUUGUUAUUCUAGAAAAUAUAUUUAAUAAUUGAGAAUAAAUUCUCUCUAUUUUUGAGCAGAGUAACAAUCUCUCAAAAUUUUAUAAAUAACUCUACCGGUGUCAUCUAUUUAUAGGAAGAGAAAGUCGAACCUUUGUUGAGUUGUAGAAGUUUAUUUCAACUAGAAAAGUUUCCUAAUUAGAGUAGGAGUAAGGUGGACGACAUUCCCUGGUAUUCCUACUAAGGUUGUUUCCCCUUCAUAUUCCAUUAGGAGAUUUUGGGCCUCUCUCGCAACAAGUCCAAUUACAAGUACUUCCUGAACUUUUCCCAAAAUUUGAUCCAACCUGAUUCUGUUUUUAUAUUUCGUAAAAUAUACUUCAAUAUAUUUAUAUUAAAUAAAUUUAUCAUCCCAAAAUCAUGACAAUUUUACCCUGGUAAAAUCAUGACAAUUUUACCCCGGGUAAAAUUUUGAGAAAAUAUGUUUAAUAUUUGUAACAGACUGUUUUUCAUUGGUGUCGAAAAUAGUAGUUUCGGAAUCACAAAUCUGACGAGUGGGUCCAUAAAUAUUAUUUUUAAUAUUUACAAGCCAAAUAUAGUAUAAUAAAUUUUUAUUUGAUAAUUUAUGUUAUUUGAAUGAAUAAUUAGGUUCAAGCGAUAAAUCCUUAAGUGAUUUUGGAAAAUAAGGUUUUGUGACCUUGUUUCUAUAAAAUGAGCCCAUAAAUAUUUUAUUAAAUAUCUAUGGAGUGUUAUUAAGGUUAUAUUAAAAUUUGGUUAAUAAAUUUUAAUGUUUAAAUAGUUAAUUAAAUGAAAAGGACUAAAUUGUAAAAGAUGCAAAAGUUUACUUUUAUAUGUUAAAGGGGUCAAAUGGCUAUGAAAUAUUAAAUCAAAGGGCUUAGUGGAUAAUUAUAUCAAGUACAUUGAUGGACGAUUAUGGACAUGUUUUUGUCAUUUUGUAAGUUAAUAAGAUAAGGACAAAAUGGUAAUUAAAUAAUAAAUUAACUUUAAACAAAAGAUGAAAACAAUGUCAUCUUCCCCAAAAGGAAUUAGCAGCCGGUUCCUCCAUUAAAUAAAAACCAAAGCUUUCGGCCAAGUUAAAAUCUCAUGCAUGGUAGGUUUUCGAGCCCCGCUUUUAGUGAUUUUUAUAUUUUUGAGUUUGUAUUAGCUUAAUCUAGUUAGCUCGGGGUCAAUUUGCAAAACUGUUAAAGGUUUAGGAAUUUUCCAUGAAUUAUUUUGAGGCUUUUUUUUUAUUUUUAAUCGAUAAAUUAUUAAAGUUUGUAAUUAAAUAUAAGUAUUUUGUUAAGUGGUUUUUGAUGAUUUUGAUGUUUAAGAAUUAAUUUGUUAAAAGUGUAAAAUUCUUUGGAUUUAAUGUGAAAUUUUCAUGAAUAUAGGCCGUUUAGGAAUCCUAUAAAAAUUGGCUAAUAUGAAUUUUAGCUAAAAAUGAUAAAUUUGUGUAUUUUGGGUUUAGGGACUAAAUUGCAUAAAAGGUAAAAUAUUAGAGAUAAUUCUGUAAAUUUCUCGUUGAUAAGGAUUAUGAGUUUUAUUAAUUAUAUUGAGUUAUUUGAAUGAUUUAAUUGAAUGAAAAUUAUUAUUUUGACCAAGAAAUGAAUCAAACGGAUCAAAAUCGAGAAAAGGCUAAUAUGCCGAGUUAUGGUGUUGUAAUAUUGAAUGUUGAUUGGCGGAAAUAAAUAAUAGAAUUGAGUUUUACUUUCAGUAUCAUAUCAGGCCUUGAGUCUAGUAGGCUUCGUGCUGGUGUAUCAUAUUAGGCCUUGCGCCUAGCAGGUUUCGUGCCGGUGUAUCAUAUUAGGCCUUGAGCCUAUAGGUAUAUAUUUUCAGGCCUUAAGCCUAGCAGGCUUCGUGCCGAUGUAUCGUAACAGGCCUUGAGCCUAUCAAGCUUCCUCGAAGUCUUCCCCUUGAGAACUUAGGACUUCAACAAAGUAAUACACUUGAUUUUUCACUCAAUGCACUUAAAAGAAACAUUCUUCAGUGAACAAGAAUGAGUGCUCUCAGUUCAGUAUAUCACCUACGCAAGUCUUAUCUAUUUAUAAAGAAUUAAGACUUGCUAACAUAAUACAUCAAUUAUAAGUAAUUUUCCCAUGUAACAAGCAAGAUAAACGAGCAUAAAGAAUAUUCUUUCAUGUUUCCAGUAAUAUAUCAUGUAUUAAGUUUUUCUUCUGUAAUUUAGAAAUUAUUUAAUUUCUUAGAAACCAUUUCAUGAUGCAAGUUGUUUCAUAUAUUAAAUAAUUCUUCCAUGAUUUAUGAAUUACUUAAUUCUUUAGACACCAUUUCAUGAUUCAUGUAAUGUUUCAUGUAUUAAGUAAUUCUUCCAUGAUUUUGGAAUUACUUAAUUUCAUAGAAAAUACAAAUUACUUAAUUUCUUAAAAAUCAUUUCAUGUUAUAUAUUAAGUAGACUGUCCAUGGGCCGGGCGGCCCGGCCCGGCCCGGCCCGAUGGCCCGCCCGAAAUAUGGGCUUGGGCAAAAAAAGAGGCCCGUUUAAAAAAUGGGCCAGGCCUCGGGUAGAAUUUUUUUGGCCCGGGCCCGACCCGAAAAUAUAUUAAAUAUAUAUAUUAAGUUUUUUAUGUUUUAAGUUUUUUAUGUUUAAAAAAAUAUAUAUUUAUUUUUAUGUUUAAGUUUUUAGUUUUAGUUUUCAAUUUCAUUUCCCCUGACAGUUUAAGUUUUCAAUUUCAUUUCCCCGACAUUUACUCUUCUUUUCUAAAAUAUAUAUAUAUAUAUAUAUAUAUAUUUAUUUUUAUGUUUAAGUUUUUAGUUUAAGUUUUCAAUUUUAUUUUUAUGUUUUCACUGUAGAAAGGAAGUCAAGGCAUGAUAACAAUUGAAAGUGAUAACAUUGGUAUUUGGUAAAUCCUGCACAUAGCAAUUGACAGGAUAGCAAUUGAAAGUGAUAACAUUGGUGUAAUAUUGGUUGGAUAUUGGUUGGUUUUAAGAUAAAAAAAAUGUGAACUUAUUUGUUUACAAAAAUAUUUGAUAAUACAAAAAUGUAAACUAAUCAAAUUUUAGAUUUUGUUACAACAAUUAAUAUAAUUAACAAUUAAUACAAUUAAUAAUUUGAUAAUUUUACUAAUCAAAUGUUAGAUUUUAUUACAACAAUUAAUACAAUUAACAAUUAAUAAUUUAAUAAUUUUACUAACAAUUAAUUUUAAUAACAAUUAGUUUUAAUUUUAUCAAAAAAUUAAUUUUAAUUAAAAACGGGCCGGGCCAAGCCGGGCUCGGGCCCCAUAUUUUUUCUUCGAACCCGGCCCGGCCCAUGGACAGGUUUAAUAUUAAGUAAUACUUUCUAAUUUUAUGAAUUACUUAAUUUCUUGGAAACCUUUUCAUGUUUUAAGUAACAUUUAAUGGAUUAAGUAAUUCUUUCAUGAUUUAGGAAUAACUUAAUUUCUUAGAAACCACUUCAUGUUUUACAUAAUCGUUUAUGUUUUAAGUAAUUUUACCUGAUUUAAGAAUUAUUUAAUUUCUUAGAAACCUUUUUCACAUUUUAAGUAACAUUUCAUGUAUUAAGUGAUUCGUUUAUGAUUUACGAAUUGCUUAAUUUUUUAAAAAUCUUUUCAUGUUUUCACCAACAUUUCAUGUAUUAAGUAAUUAUUCCUUGAUUUAAGUAAUUUCUUAAAAAAAAAUCAUAUUAAGUAAUUCUUCUAUUAUUCACUAAUUAAUUAAUUUUUUUAAAACAUUUUUUAUAUUUUAAGUAUUUACUUAAAAAAAUUUUUGAACCAUUUCACUUGAAACCAAGAUAUCUGGGUUUUUCUUUUUUAAAGAAAUUCAGUGGUUUAGAUUUUAAUUUUUUUUCUCUAACGCUGACAAUAUUUUUAAGGAAGCCCACAUUAGAUUUGCUCUUUUUAGAAUUUUCCAACCCCUACUUCUUUUUAUAAACAAGAGUAGUCACUCUGUCUAAUCUAGCUAGGAAUUCUAAGCUUUGAUGCCACUGAUGACCUUUGGUCUGGAAUAUUGAAAAUGGUAAGAGAGCAAUGAAACGGAAGAAAAAUAAGAGAGAAUCACCAAUAGAUGGUUGGAAGAAUACCAAACAAAAGUAGCUCAGCCAUAAAACAGAAGUUACUCCAUUACCAUAUUCCAAGAUUGUAGCCAUAAAAAUUUUCAAUUUUACCAUGUGCUGCCCAGCAAGGUUAAGUUUAUAAAACGCAUCCACAAAAAUGACAGUUUUUUUGUUGGAAGCCUAGUAAACAUAUAAUCCAAAUAACUUUAUUACUAACACAAUUAUUACACAAUAAUACCAAUAUUUUCUUUCUCACGAUGACUAGCUGCUGCUAGUAUUUUACACUUGGCUGAUACUUCACAUGCACACACAUACAUUACUUACAUGUAUAGCAUAGUUAACCGACUUCAAACUAGCCGUCAUUCUUAUCCAUUCGCUUAGAGUUUGUAGAAUCAUGUAGAACCAAUCUUGCCGCCUUUCCUUGCUUUGCCAAGUUGUUCGGUUUGUCGUCAACAUUUUUGACAGGCAAGCUGGUAUCAAUAUCUGAAGAACCUGUAUAAAGUAGGAAGAAAUGACAGUUUUUCAGCCAUACUUGAACAGUUUUCCCUUUAGUCCUGCUUAGUUUUACCAUGGAUAAGUUGCUGCCAUUGUCCUCCACCUUCCUCGUCUUCAUUUUCAUGGUGUUUAAGCUGAGAUCCAAAAUGGAGACACCCAAAAAUUUGCAUAUCGCGGAUUUAAAUCAAUGCCUUUUAUAUUAAUAAAAUUUUGAUUUUACCGCUAAACAAAAUUUGUUUUUUUUUUCAACCAAAACUUUAUUAUAAUAUAUUUUAUGCAUUCCAAUAUUUAUGUAUUCUUUUAUGACUGUAUAUCUAAUUUAAUCUAAUAUAAUACUUAUAUUUAAGCACUUAAUUAAAUCAGUGUCACCUUUAAUUGUAUCAUUUUAAUGAGUUAUUGUCACUCUGCCACCAACACAAUUAUAAAAUUUUAGAAAUACUGAUUUUUUAAAUUAUAAUUUUUAUUUUUCAUACUUUUAUAUUAUUACAAAUCCAAGGAUCGAAUAUGUGUUCUAUAGUGUGAAAGAUACAAAUUCAUUACUCCACCUAUUUUUAUUAUUAAAUAAAAUUUUAAAAAAUAUUUUAUAGAAUAUUUUCUUAGGCUCACAAAAAGGGUGUGACAAAAUCUAGUAUUGAUGAUGUUAUUGAUUAAGUUGUUGUGGCGAGUUAAUUCAACACUAAUUCAAAAUUGAUAGUAACACAAUUAUAAACAAUUGUAGCAUAUUUAUUAUUUUUAAUCUAAUGUGUUUAUGUAUUCAAAUUCCAUACUCAUAAUAUGAUCUAUUUUUCUUAUUUUAAUAUAGUAUUAUUAAUUGAUUUAAAACCAUAUAUUUCAUUCUGUUGAGUAUUAUCUUCUAUGGUUGUUUCUUCGUGAUAUAUUUCCAAUCUCAUUAAAAGUAAACUGUAUUAUCUCCAAGAUCAGAUUCUAGUGUUCAUUUGGGUAGUUUUCUAAAACUAAAUGAUUUCCCAUUUUAGGCCCCGGCAUUGUUUUUUAUCAAUAUGAAAUUGCAAUAUUGUACCAACAAAAUUAUUCAAUUUUGUCAUGUUCUGGUGCAAACGAUAAUAUUUUUAGGGCAUCAGCUUUGUCAGGAAAGCAUAUUUCAAUAUCAGAAACCUGCAUAAAUUAAGAAGAAACUAAAUUUUCUCAGCAACACAUGAACAGUUAAGUCUUGCAUAAGUUUACCAUGGGUAAGUUGCUCCCCUUGUCCUUCACUUUCCUUGUGUUCAUUUUCAUGGUGUUUAAGCUAUGGAUGAGAUCCAAAAUAAAGGAAGCACCCAAAAAUCUACCUCCUGCACCAUGGAAACUACCUAUUAUAAGGCACUUGCAUCUUUUAAUCUUUGCUCUUCCCCAUCAGCGCUUAACGGAAUUAGCCAAAAGACAUGGUUCCCUAAUGCACCUAGAACUUGGUGAAGUAUCACACGUUGUUGUUUCUUCUCCAGAGGCAGCUAAAGAAGUGAUGAUAACACAUGAUAUCAGUUUUUCUAACAGGCCCUUUCUCCUUGGUGCAGAAAUCGUAUCAUACAAUCUUUCAGAUAUUGCUUUUGCACCAUAUGGAAGCUGUUGGAGGCAACUUCGAAAAGUUUGCACAUUGGAGCUGCUCAGUUUGAAACGUGUACAAUCAUUCCGUUCAGUCAGAGAAGAGCAGGUGUCAAGUUUAAUUAGAUCCAUCUUUUCUAAGACAGGAAAGGAAAUCAACCUUGGAGAAAUGUUAUGCAAUUUAUCAUAUAACAUCACUUUAAGGACUGUUCUUAUGAAAUAGUGUAGUAUCUAACAGCCUGGCAUGGCAUGGCAUAUGGUAUGGUUGUUAUCGAGCUUUCCCUUGCAAAAUUACUAUCCCAUUUUGAUUGAAAACUCCCUAAUGGAAUGAAAAAUGAGGAUCUAGACAUGACUAAAGCUUUUGGUGCUUCAGCAAAAUAGGUUUUUAGCGACAUUUUUAGUGGCGUUUUGACGAAAGACGCUAGAUCGAGCAUUAGCGGCGCUUUUUGAAAAAUGCCGCUAUAGAUCGAGCACAACGCCUUAGUGGCAUUAGCAACGCUUUUCGAAAAACGCCGCUAUAGAUCAAGCACUAGCGGCGCUUUUUUAAAAACGUCGCAAGAAACAUUUUAUUUGUCUAUUUAUUAUUUAACUGGUUUAUUUAUAUUUAUUAAAAUACAAUUUCUUUUUAAUUGAAUAUUUAAAUUCUUUAGAAAAAAUAGUGACACAUAGAAAAAAUUUGAAAUUAAAAACUUAGAAAAAUAUUUGUUAAAAAUGAAAAAAAUUAAAAUACUAUUAUUUAAAAUAAUUUUAAAGUUUUUUGGGUACAUGACUGAUUGUUUUUUUAAUUUAUAUAUUAAAUAAUUUCUUAUAUAAUCAUAAAAGAGAUAGUAUUAAUUUUAAAAUAUUGAAUUAAUUAUCAUUAUAGUUUAGGGUUUAUGGUUUAGGGUAUAUAGUUUAGGGUUUAAGGUUUAGGAGUUACUAUUUUAAGGUUUAUGGAUUAUGGAUUUAGGGAUUAUGGUUUAAGGGUUGGGGUUUAAUGUUUAGGGGUUAAGGGUUUAAGGUUUGUCAAGAAAGCAUAUUUCAAUAUAAAAAACCUGCAUAAAUUAAGAAGAAAUGAAAUUUUCUAAGCAACACAUGAAUAGUUAAGUUGUUGAAGUUGGCCUGCAUGCUGAUAUGAAGCAAUAGAAACUGCCUGAGUCAUGCAGUUGCAGCUGAAGUUCAAGUUGCUGUUUUGUUUUGUUACUUUCAAAUUGGUGUUUUGUAACUUAGUUAAAAUCAAACCAAGUUGUACUUGAUGAUUAGGUGCUGAUAAACUGUUAAAUCAGCUUACCUAUGUGUGCAAGUCAUGUUUUGUAAGUUACAAUGUUAUUAGUGGAGUUAGGUAGUAUUUAGGUGAUGAUUUUGUUUGUCCUGACCAAUUCAUGUUUGGUAUUUGUAUUGGCACUAUGCCAUUUUUCAAAUUAAUUAAAAAUUCAGAAAGAAUUCUUCAUCUAUACUCUCUCAAUCUUUGUUUUCAUCUGGUUCUUAAAUGCUUGAUUCUGUUAUUGUUUAUACUGCAAGUCUUGAGCCUUAAAGCUCGAGAAACUAUUUUAUUUCUUUUAUUCUUGCUCAUUGUUCCAACAAUUGGUAUCUAGAGCCUAUUUCUCAGUGGACCUAUCAGUUUUUCAAGUCAAGGAACAAUGUCUUCAUCUGGAUUCUCACCAGCUCCACCACCAGUGUUCAAUGGUGAAGGCUACCACAUUUGGGUAGUGAAAAUGAAGCCCUACCUGCAGGUAUUCGACUUGUGGGAGGUUGUUAACUCAGAUGUUGAACCAACACCUCUAAGAGCCAAUCCUACAGUGGUUCAGAUCAGGCAGCAUGCAGAUGAAAAAACCAAUAGACACAAGGCUAUGUCUUGCAUCCAAAACAAUGUGUCUGAUGUGAUUUUCACAAGAAUCAUGGCUUGUGAUUCACUAAAGCAGGCCUGGCAUAAGUUGAAGGAGGAGUUUCAAGGGACUGAAAGAACAAGACAGCAACAACUACUGAAUUUGAGAAGGGACUUUGAAAACUUGAAGAUGAAGGAGGAAGAAACAGUGAAGCAAUAUUCAGACAGAAUCAUGGUUGUAGUGAACAACAUCAGAUUGCUUGGGGACCAAUUUAGUGAAGCAAGAAUUGUAGAGAAGGUUAUCUCAACUUUACCUUAAAGAUAUGAAGCCAAGAUCUCAUCUCUUGAAGAUUCAAGAGAUCUGACAAACAUCUCUUUGACUGAGCUGAUCAAUACUUUUUAUGCACAAAAGCAAAGAAGGGCCAGCAAGCAGGAGGAGCAUCAAGAAGGUGCUUUCUAAGCCAAGAAAGGCCUGGCUUGACAAGCCUAGAAGAUAUGGAGCAGAAAAGAGAUAUCCACCUUGCCCACACUACAAAAGACUUAGUCAUCCAGCUAAAAAUUAUUGGUUUAGGCCUAAUAUGCAGUGCAAAGUCUGUAAAAAGAUGGGCCACUCUGAGAAAGUUUGUAAAAACAAAGGCAAACUGAUACAAAGUUAAUCUCAACCACCAAAAGAUGAAGCUCAAGUGGCAGAACAAGAUAGUGACUAGGAAGAGCAAGUCUUUGCAGUGUCUUACUCAGCUGCCAAAGGAAAAGUCACAAAAGGAUGGCUGAUAGACAGUGGUUACACAAACCACAUGACUCCUAAUGUUGCAAUCUUCAAAAGCAUUGACAGAAGCUUCAAAACAAGGGUAAAAUUUGGAAAUGGACACUUCAUCAAAGCAGAAGGCAAAGGAUAUGUGUUGAUAGACACCCCCACAGGUAACAAACUAGUUUGAAAUGUCUUGUUUGUGCUUGAAAUUGACAGAAACCUCCUCAGUAUAGCUCAACUGCUAGAAAAAGGGCUAUUCAGUUGUGUUCAAAGGCAAUGAAUGCCUGAUCAGUGAUCCAAGUGGAUCUAAGCUUAUGUCAGUAACUACAGCUGAUAGAAGCUUUGUAGUAUACUGGAAUAAAAGCCCAAACAGUGCCUACACAAUAGUGCUUGAUGAAUCCAAGCUGUGGCACAAGAGGUUAGGCAAUGCCAACUACAACACACUGGCUCAACUAACCAAAGAAGAUUUGGUUGAAAACUUUACCAAUUCUGUUGAGAAGGAGGAUGUUUGUGAGGUAUGUAAAUUAGAAAAGUAGCCCAUACUGCCAUUUCCCUUGAACAAGGCCUGGAGAGCCUCAGAAAAACUAUAGUUGGUUCAUACUGAUGUGUGUGGCCCUAUGAAAACACCAUCAUUGAAUGGUAGAAGGUAUUUCAUUUUUUUUAUUGAUGAUUACUCGAGGUAUUGUUGGAUUUAUUUCUUAAAACAAAAAUCAGAAGUGGCCUCAGUAUUUUAGAAGUUCAAGGUUGCAGUAGAAACAGAAAUAGGUUGCAAGCUGAAGAUAUUGAGGCCCAACAAUGGGACUGAGUAUACCUCAGCAAUGUUUCAGAGUUUCUGUGAUGAAAAAGGCAUCAAGCAUCAGCUUACCAACACCUAUACACCACAACUGAAUGGUGUUAGUGAAAGAAAGAACAGAAGCUUGAUGGAUAUGGCAAGAUGCCUAUUGUUCGAGAGGAAUUUGCCAAAAACCUUGUGGGCUGAGGCAGUUAGCACUGCUGUAUAUCUGUAAAAUAGACUGCCAACAAAGACAUUGGCUCAUAAAACUUCAUCUAAAGCCUGGUUUGGGUUCAAACCGUCACUGGCUCAUCUGAGGGUCUUUGGCUACAUAUGCUGUGCACAUGUCCCUAUAGUUAAGAGGGAUAAUUUAACCAAAAAAGCACAACCAGGUAUCCUGGUAGGCUAUAGUAGUUUGAAGAAAGGCUAUAGGAUCCUAGAUCCUUCAACUAACAAAAUCUUUGUAAGUAAAGAUGUUGUGUUUGAUAAGAAGAUAGGAUGGAAUUGGGAUAAAAAUGAACCAUAAGCUGCUACUGAAGAUCUGCUGACUGAUCAGACUGAAGCCGAUCAAAAUGAUCCUGAAACGGAUAUUGACCAUGAACCAAUCAGGGGAACCAAAUCUUUGAGUGAAAUUUAUGAAAGAGCUGAAGUGGCUACAGUUGAACCAAGUUGUUUUGAAGAAGCUGAAUCUCACAAAGAAUGGAAACAGGCUAUUCUCGAUGAAAUAAGCAUGAUUCAUAAGAACCAGACUUGGAAACUUGUUGACAAACUAGCCAACAGGAAGGUUAUUGGGUGAAAUGGGUAUUUCGAGCCAAGCACAAUACUGAUGGAACUCUGAACAAGCUAAAGGCAAGGUUGGUAGUGAAGGGAUCUAGUCAGAAGUAUGGCAUUCAUUACUUCGAGACAUUUGCACUAGUGGCCAGGCUUGACACAAUUAGAUUGUUGGUUGCUUUGGUUGCACAAAAGUAGUGGAAGAUACAUCAACUUGAUGUAAAUUCGGCUUUUCUCAAUGGUUUUCUUGAAGAAGAGAUUUAUGUCGAGUAGCCUGAAGGUUUUAAAGCUGCGGUGAAGUGGAAAAAGUGUACAAACUAAAGAAAGCCUUGUAUGGCUUAAAACGGGCACCAAGAGCAUGGUAUGACAGAAUCGUUGGCUACCUAGCUAGCUUGGGGUUCGAGAAAAGCAUCACUGAGCCAACCUUGUAUGUGAAGAAGAAAGGUGUUGAAAUACAACUUGUGGUAUCCCUGUAUGUUGAUGACCUAUUUGUGAUAGGUGAAAGUCAUGAAUUGAUGGCUGAUUUCAAAGGAAAAAUGGAGAAAAAGUUUGAGAUGUCUGAUUUGGGAUAAAUGUCCUACUUCCUGGGCAUGGAAGUUUCUCAAACUUAACAAGGGAUGUUCCUAAGUCAGAAGGCAUUUGCCUUGAAGAUUCUGAACAAAUUCUCCAUGCUAAACUGCAAGGCAACAAGCACACCAGCUGCUGUUGGAGAAAAACUAUCAAGCCAAGCUGAUUGUGGAAAGGUUUGUGAAUCAACCUAUAGGAGUUUGAUUGGAUGCCUCCUUUAUUUGACUGCAACCAGACCAGACGUUAUGUUUGCUGUAAGUCUACUAUUCGAUUCAUGCAUUGCUACAAUAUGAAGCACUUCCAAGCUGCCAAAUGAGUUUUCAGAUACAUCAAAGGUACAUUGAGCUUUGGAAUGAUGUUCACCAAGGCUGAAAGCAUGAAAUUGCUUGGAUAUGUUGAUAGUGAUUGGGCUGGAUUGAUAGAUGAUAUGAAAAGCACCUUAGGGUAUCUGUUUACCCUUGGCUCAACCAUUUUUUGAUGGAGUUCAAAGAAGCAAAUAUUGGUUGCUCAAUCAACAGUUGAGACAGAAUAUAUAACAGCUACUAGUACUGUUAACCAAGCUAUUUGGCUAAGAAAGAUCAUGACAGAGCUGAAUCUACACCAAAGGGAAGCAACAAAUAUCAAAUGUGACAACCAGUCUGCUAUUGCAAUUACAAAGAAUCCAGUGUUCCAUGGGAGAAUAAAGCAUUUCAAGAUCAAGUUUCAUUUUGUUAGGGAAAUGGAACAAGCUCAAGAGGUGAAACAGAUUCAUUGCAGUUCUGAGGAUCAAUUAGCUGAUAUCCUGACAAAACCUCUUAGUGUAUCAAGGUUCGAGCACUUGAGAAUGAGAUUGGGAGUUUGCAGCACGUAAGCCAAGGAGGAGUGUUGAAGCUGGCUUGCAUGCUGACAUGAAGCAACGGAAACUGUCCGAGUCAUGCAAUUGCACCUAAAGUUCAAGCUGCUGUUUUGUUUUGUUACUUUCAAAUUGGUGUUUUGUAUCUUAGUUAAAAUCAAACCAAGUUGUACUUGAUGAUUAGGUGCUGAUAAACUGAUAAAUCAACUUACCUAUGUGUGCAAGUCAUGUUUUGUAAGUUACAAUGUUAUUAGUGGAGUUAGGUAGUGUUUAGGUGAUGAUUUUGUUUGUCCUGACCAGCUCAUGUCUGGUAUUUGUAUUGGCACAAUGCCAUUGUUCAAAUUAAUUAAAAAUUCAUAAAGAAUUCUUCAUCUAUACUCUCUCAAUCUUUGUUUUCAUCUGGUUCUUAAAUGCUUGAUUCUAUUAUUGUUUAUGCUGCAAGUCUCGAGCCUUAAAGCUCAAGAAACUAUUUUGUUUCUUUUAUUCUUGCUUAUUAUUCCAACAAAACAUAAUCUUCCUUACCAGCACAUGCAAAAAAUUAAUUUCUUUUAUGGCUAGAAUCUCAGAAUAUCGUAUAAGAGGCAUAACCAUGGAGAAUCCAUUUCUUUUAUCAAUAUUAUCACGUGUCUUCAUUAAUGGAACUUGGUUUAAAUAUUUAUAGCAAAGAUUUUUAAUGAUACACCAGCUAAGAUACUUGAACUCUUUUAUGUUAAGCAAACUACCCGAAAGAAUAAUUGAAAUUGAUAUCCGAUAAAAUACAAUUGUAUUCCAAUUAAAUGGAAGAUAGAUUUAAAAAGAAAAGGCAUAUCACAUAGAAACAACCAUUGAAGAUAAAUAGAUAAUACUCGACUUCUAAAAUGAAAAAAAAACUCAUUUUGGACUAAAGAUAAUCAAAGUGAGGCAUUGAACAUGAAAUUCAAUCUAUAUAAUCUGCAUAUAAGGCAAACUAUCUUAAAAUUUCAAGCAGACUCAUAGAAAAGCAUGCAUGUAGCUAAAACUUCAAGCAUUAUUAUACUAACAUUAACUGAAUCUCUCAAUUUUUCAGCACUUGGUAUGUCAACAUUGCGACACCAAAAAGACAUUUAACUUAUCUAAAGCCUUGUGGUAUUCGAAGGUAUUUCAAGAAAACGAUGCCCUAUAUAUAUCAUACAUAAGAUUGAAAUCAUAAUCAUAUGGAAAAACUUUGGGGACUUCUAGUGUAAUCAACGUAAUUUUUUUCUAUUUCCAAGCAGUUGAUAUCUUUAACCUUUCAUUCUUAUCUGAAAGCUAACACUGAGGUGGACACAAGAGGGCUCUCAGGUGGACAACAGAUGUUCCGGCACAGUAGAGGUCAAACUCAGGUCUCGUGGCAACGAUUAUAAUUAUUAAUGGGUUAUUUAAUAACGUCGACUGUCUUCACCCCAAAAGGAGCAUCACCUUUAUAGCACUGCAACAAUCGCUUCCUGCCUAAGAGUCCUCGUACGUCCACGACGGUGUUGGCCUUCAAAUAAGAAAGAAUGUUAAAGAUACCGGUUGCUUGAAAAUGGAGAAAAAAGUUACACCGAUUAUCGCAGGGAUCCCCUGAGUUUUUCCGUAUGAUUAUGAACUCAGACUUCUGUAUGGUAUUUAUAGGGCAUCAUUUUCGGGUAUCUGAAUAUAUUGAGUUCGUGUCAGUGGCCAAUACUGAUCGAGGUUUAAGCAUAACCCAAAUUUAGACACUCAGGCAUGACAUUCAAUCAGUGCGGUCGAUUUCAACUUCAGCACUAGGUUGAUGUCAUGGUGUAGAAGCAUGUAUACGAGGGGAUCAUCGACAUACAUUAGACAUAAAACUAGUGUAUUUUUUUACGAGCACGUGGGUUAUAGGAGAACCAAUAACCUACUUAUUUCAACUGGGACCAGGGAGGGUAUGUCAAACCCUAUGCUCGAAGGUGAUAAUGAAGGCAUAGAUGAGAAAAAAGAGAAAAAGAUGCAGCCCAUGAAGAACUUAUAGGUGAAGAAGAAAGGGUGGCCGAGGAAAAAGAUUUAGGUGAGGAAAAAGAGGCAGUAAAUGCAGUUGAUGGGGAGGAGUUAGACCCUGAGCCAAUCCGACAGCGCGAUCUAGAUGGUUCAGAAGUGGCACUAUUUUCCAAAACGGAGUUGGUUCCAACGAAGCUGGAACCUUACGGGUCCAAUAAUUACAUAUCGAACAAUUCUCUAAAUCCAGAUUUGUGAUUCAAGGCAUAUGAACUUCUACCCUUACAUAAUGAACAUCAACCUAUCGGUCGAGGGUGAUUUAGAGUCACAGAACCUAUGCCCCACUCGCGUCAUGGGCAUCAUAUCGUGUGAAACUAACAACAGGGACUUACAAUUGUGGGAGAUUUGAAGCACUUCGAUUCCCAUGUGCACAUGGAAUUACCGCAUGUGGGAACAUACGAAUUGAGUAUGCGCCUUACAUCUACUAACUAUAACGUAUUUACGGUGUGUGGAGUCUUGAAUUCCCACCCAUCCCAUAUGAAAGUAUGUGGCUGCUAGUGUCCAGCACGUCAUAGGAAUCGGCGCCGAACAAGAACCUGCGUCGUAUCCCGAAAGGUUGCCUGAAUUUCUCCUAGAUAAGAAACAAUAUAGAUAUUCGGGAGAGGAGCAGUCAACAGAGAUUAUAUGGGCACUAUUGAAACCCAGGGCAUAUGAAGACAACAUGUUAUCUGUACAAGGGUAUAUUGGGGCCUCAACGUCAAUAGCAUUAUUUUCUUCCAAAUAAUAUAUUCAUUAAAAUGCUUUCAUUAUUCAGGUGUUCCAAAUUUUUUAUUUCUUGUUCACUUACGCAUAACUCACAUUAGACAAUAAUGAAGACAAAUGUGAUGUUCGAAUGAAAAACCUCAGUUUAUUAAUUUAUGUCAUAUAUAUUUACAUCGCAUUAUUUCGAAAAAAAUACAUAAAUCAUUCGUUGUUGAAAAUGUGUGCCACAAGGCGAUGGAUGACGGUUGCGUGGAGGAUUUCUAUAGAGGACCGAAGGUUUGGGCCUAUAGACUUUCUUGUCAGCAUCAUCAUCACCUUCACCCACACCUAGCAAUGGCCCCUAGGCUUCGUCUCCGGCUAUGUCGGAGUCAUCAACGUCCUGCAUGGUUGACUGCUUUGUCGUCCUAGCCUCCCAUCGUGCAUUCUCCACUCCUGCGGUCAAUGGUUGUGUCGAUGAGUCACCCCAAUAAAAUAGUGAUGCGGGUGGUGUUUGUGCCAUAAUUGACGUGAAACCAUAAGGUUCCCCUAAUUCCAGGUACAUCGAUAUUGUCCCCGACAUCAAAAUUGGUAUCGACUACUGCAUGGGUGUCUGUAUCGAUGUCUUCAUUGGGGGCGAUGCAUGCGCUGGCAUCUAGCCAGGCAUCUAGGUCGGCAUCGACAUCGGCAUGGGAGCUGAAAAAUAGAUGGGAUGCCAUUACCCUAAAAUAUGUACCUAUGAGAAUAGAAGAAUCGACCACGUAUAAUGGUGGUGUGUAGUGCGAUGCUUGUGAAAAAAAUAUAGGGUUAGUGAAGUGAAGAGGAAUAAGUGAAGUGAAUUGAACCUAAUAUUGCAUAGACAAUGGCAGCGCUUCUUCUGUCGAAGCCGAUAACGAACCCAUCAUAUGACUGUACCCCUUCCUACAUUGCUACUGUGGAGUCGUCAUUGCCCCUUCGACCGAAUUUGCCUACUCCUCGCCACUUGCGAUAGAAUAUACGACUUCCCAGCGACUCUGAACCACGUCAUAUAAUCAAUAUCUAUUGUUAUUUCUACAGAGUGAAAUGGCUGGUAGACGAGUAAGGAUUCCAUCCUACGAUUCUAAGCCUGAAUGUGCUCAUUGUGCUUCUCUACCCAAUCCUUGUUGUUCUUCCCCUGCAUGUCCACCUUCUUCAGCUUCUUUAUGUCUCGCGAUGGUGGCGAAAUCCACUGCCUCCACCUGAACUAUUGUAACACCCGAUCUGAUUCGUACAUUUCUACCGUCGCGUGCACUAUCAAUGAUACCUUCGCAUCCCACAUCUCUCAAUUAGCAAACACUACCAGUGGGAUGCAAGAUAUGAUAACGGUGUUGGCGUACGACAUCCAUUCAAACUGAAAAGUAGAAUUGCAAAUAUCGUUACAUACGAUUUUUUACUAAUCAUUGCAGAAUUGAUAUAGGUUAGAAAGAAUAAGUAAUUAACCUCAGCUUCAGAGCAUUGAUCUAACAACAGCCUAAAAUCUUCAAGCUCAUCGGACAAUCCCAUGUAACUUGGCUUAUGGUUCCACCUGUACAGGUGAUAUGUUAGUCGAAACAUAUAAUCAAUAAAAGUAUAUACUAUACAAACUACCUAUUUAUUAAUAAGUGGUGUUUAUCGCACUACCGAUUGACAUCAUAUUGGGUACCAUGGCUCGACACGGCUCCCAAUGUAACGUGGAUAAGACAACAGAUCUCCAACUUAGUUUUUUGCAUUGAUUGAAGGCCACUAGAUAUUGUAGUCACCUUAUGUGCAAAAAAUUUCAAGAUUUAUCGGGCAUUAAAAUGCCCUUGAUUAAUCUAAUGGUGAAUGUUUGGGCGUAUUGUUCUAUGACCUCCUCUGUUAGGUCAUCAAGAAGUUCUUCGAAAUUAUCCUCCAACAAGUUUAUCAAUGUUUGACCACCAUCAAACUUGUCUAGAACCUUCCCCAACAUUGCUUUGCAAAGGUCGAAUUUAUCGGGAACGAUCAUUGAUCCCGUGAUGACUGGCCCAUCCACGGACAGCUCUAGUUGUAACAUUAUGUCCUCGAGUGUGAUUGUACACUUGACGCAUGGAAGGUGGAAAGUAUGCGUUUUGGGCCUUUGUGUUACGGGCCUCCAUCUUUCCACCAAUGCGCUGAUUAGUGUAGGAUCGAGUUUGCUAGCCCCGAGUAUGCGAGAUGUAUGUAAGAAUCCAACCUCUUGCAAGUAGCCAUGAAUUUGAGGGAUAAGAGGCUUUCCCAUAUUAUGUAUGAACCCCUCCAAAACACAAUCAUCCGCCUAUUUAUAACAUAAAAAAAUUAUUUCAAAUUAUCAAAAAAAUUAAUUAAAUUUAACAUAAUUGAAAUAACGAAAUUUAAAAUUUCAUCUUACCAUUGCUGCUUGGGCGGCGAAAAUAUGUUUGUCAUCGAAACGAAUUAGAGAGGCGGCCAUUCGUGAGAAAUUAAUCCGAAAGAAUAAAAUACGAGAUAAUUAAAAAUAAGAUUUUUAAAUGAGAAUAUCGAUAAAUUUAGAACAAAAAGAUUGAGAGAGUUAACAGAGUUUGAAAGAGUUGAAAGAAUGAUGUGAAAGAAAGAAAUGAAAUUUGGGGGGUAUUUAUAGGUUAAAAAAAGUGACCAUUGCCCCUUUGAUUUUUUUUUACCGUUAUAGUGCCAACAUUCAAAAAGCCAUUGGUUUUUUACCAUUGAGGGAAAGCACGUCCAGUUGGCAUAGCAACCAAUAAGGCAACCCACAUGUAGUUCAUACUGAUAUAACACAAUUUUUUAUAUGCUACGUUAACAAAUAAUUAUACAAUUAUAAAAAUAUUCAAAAAAAAAUCAAAAGGAUGUAUAAAAAGUUCAUAAAAUUUUAAAAAGAAACAUGGAAGUACAUGUGAAUUAUCAUACAAGGCGCAAUGUUUAAAAUUUUAAUAUUUUAGUCCAUAAUUUGACAAAAAAAUUAUUUUGCACUUUUUAAAAGUUGAAUUUAGCUUCUUCUUUUUAAAGGUUAAAGGUCAAAUUUAGUUUAAAAAAUAAAAUAAAAACUCAAAAGCUAAAUUUAAUAUUAUGCCAAUUUAAAAUUAAAUUAAUUUCAUUUCAUUUUUAGUGAUGUAUGGUAAUAUAAUUUAGUAACUAUACAUAAACUUAACUCAUCUUUUUAGGUUAAAUUCGACUAUUAGCCCCAUGUACUUAGCAAAAGUUAUGGAUUUAAUUUAUGUACUUUUAUUUGUCAUUUUAGUCCCUGAACUUUUCAAAUUUUAAAUUUCCAAUCCUCACGAAACAGUGAUUAUUAAAUUCAUUAAGUAGAGUUAUGCUAUUUCAAAAAUUUGAUGUGUCAAACAUAUUAUCAUACUUGUAAUGUCAUGUCAGCUUAUUAUUUGCACAUGUUCGGAUGGUCAUCCUAAAAGGAAAAACGUGGAAGUCAAGUUAAACAAAAUAUAUCUUCUUUAUAGAAGAUUUAGUAUUUAUGAGUAUAAUAUAUUUAGCAUUUAUUAGCAUAAUAUAUUUGACUUUGAUUAGAAUUAGGUUUUUUUAACCUAUAAAUAGAUGUAGUUGAAACUCUUCUUGUAAUUAAUUGAAUUUAACAUAGUGAAUUUUCUUCUCAUCUGCCCGUGGUUUUUUUCCCGAAAGGGUUUCCAUGUAAAAAUCUGUGUGUUCUUUAUUUUUAUUUCUCUUUUCUUUGCGAUAUAUUGUCAUUAUCGACGUUCUAUUUUUACAAAUUGGUAUCAAAGCUUCCAAGUUGUUCAUCUCAAUCACGGUAAUAGCAUCUUUGAAGUAUGAAAUUUCACUGUUGGAUCGCAACACUAGAUUUACGUUGUGGCAGAUUAAGAUGCAAACAGUUCUUGUGCAGAUGAAUCUAGAGGAUGCCCUGCUAUGGAUAGAUAAGAUGCCUUUGACAUUAACAGAUGAAGAGAAGAAGCAUAAGGAUCGAAGAGAAGACCGCCGCUGCAUUAUGGAAGAGGCUGGAACAAAUAUGUAUGUCGAGAACUCUAACCAGCAAGUUGCAUAUGAAGAAGCGUCUUUAUGCUCAUCGUUUGGAGAAUGGUGUAUCUGUGCACAAACACUUAACAGUAUUUAAAGAAAUUCUCUCAAACUCGGAGGCCAUGGAGGUUCAGUAUGAUAAGGAAGAUCUAGGGUUGAUUCUACUUUGUUCGUUGCUCCCAUCUUAUUCAACCUUUAGAGGCACGAUUUUAUAUAGUCAUGAGUCUCUCACAAUUGAUGAGGUUUAUGAUUCUUUGACCUCGUAUGAUAAGAUGAAGCAUCUUAUGGUUAAACCCGACUCUAAGGGAGAUAGUCUUAUUGUUCAUGGGAGACAAGAAUGGAAUGCUGAUGAUGAUCGUGGAAGGACACAAGAACAGAAUCCUCGUGGUAAAUCUAAAGGUAGAUCAAAGUCUUCAAACAGAGUUAAACUUGUAACUUUUACAAGAAGAAAGAGCACAUUAAAUCUGAGUGCUAUAAGCUACAGAACAAGAUCAAAAGGGAGGCUACAAAUCGAAAUGGAAAACAACCUGAAAAUUCUGGUGAAGCUGAUGUUGUAGAAGACUACAUCGAUGGUGAACUUCUAGUCGCUUCUGUCAACAAUUCUAAAGUGAGCGAUGAAUGGAUCCUUGAUUCGGGUUGCACCUUCCACAUGAGUCCCAAUCAGGAUUGGUUUACAACUUACUAAAUAGUGUUUGAAUGUGUUGUUUUGAUGGGAAAUAAUGAUUCAUUUAAAAUUGCAGGUGUUGGAACAAUUAAAGUUAAGAUGUUUAUCGGAGUUGUCAAAACACUUAGUGACGUGAGGCAUGUUCUAGAAUUGAAAAGAAAUUUAAUUUUUUUGAGUACACUUGAUUCAAAAGGGUACAGAUACAUAGCUGAAAGUGGGGUUUUGAAGAUUUCCGAAGGUUCCCUCGAAAGGGCAGAGAAAGACUGCCAAGUUAUAUGUUUUGAAGGGUUCUACUGUUACUGGUGAUGCAGCUAUCGCUUCCUCUUCCUUUUUAGAUGAUGAUAUUACUAAACUUUGACAUAUGCGCCUAGGGCAUAUGAAUGAGAAUGGCAUGGCAGAAUUGAGCAAAAGAGGACUUCUUGAUGUGUAAGGAAUUUGCAAACUAAAGUUUUGUGAGCACUGCAUUUUUGGGAAGCAAAAGAGAGUUCGAUUCACUAGAGGCAUAAGCUAUGACUUUGCCUUCCUGGAACAAAACACAGCCCUAACCAUUUAAAGAUGCAUCACUAUAGAUUACAAAUUCUUUAAUUGAUUCUGGCUGAACUAACACGGGAGCUUCUGCCAACAAAGAUUUCAACUGAUCAAAAAUUUUUUGACACUUUUCCGACCACUCAAACUUAACAUCUUUCUGAAGUAGUCUCGUCAUCGGGGUUGCAAUCAUAGAGAAACCUUUUACGAAUCGUUUGUAAUAACCAAAAAGUCCCAAAAAACUUCAGACUUCAGAUACAUUUCUCAAAGGCUUCCAAUCUAAUAUUGCCGAAAUCUUGCUCGGAUCAACCCGAAUACCCGAUGCUGAUAAAACAUGUCCCAGAAAACUAACUUCUCAUAACCAGAACUCACAUUUACUGAACUUCGCAUAUAACUGCUUAUCACGCAAAGUCUGUAGUACUAAUCUUAGAUGUUCGGCAUGCUCAGAUUCAUCACGGGAAUAAAUCAAGAUAUCAUCUAUGAACACAACCAUAAAUCGAUCCAAAUACUGUCUAAAGAUCGAAUUCAUUAGGUCCAUAAAAGCAGUAGGUGCAUUUGUUAAUCCAAAAGGCAUAAGUAAAAACUCAUAAUGCCCAUACCUCGUUCUGAAAGUUGUUUUCGGAAUAUUAGAAUCUUUUACUCGUAGCUGAUAAUAGCCCGAUCUCAAAUCUAUCUUCGAAAACACAGUAGCACCUUUCAACUGAUCAAACAAAUCGUCAAUUCUGGGCAGAGGAUAUUUGUUUCUUUAUAGUCAUUUUGUUUAACUGAUGGUAAUCAAUGAACAUUCUCAUCGUGCCAUCUUUCUUUUUCACAAACAGAACCGGAGCACUCCAAGGAGAAAAACUCGAUCUAGCAACCCUCUAUCUUUCAUUUCUUGCAACUGAGCUUUCAAUUCUUUUAAUUCAGUCGAUGCCAUUCUAUACAGAGUUAUCGAAAUUGGAGUUGUCCCCUGUACUAACUCAAUACCAAACUCUACCUCCUGGAUUGGUGGUAAACCCGGUAAUUCUUCAGGAAACACAUCUGAAUACUCGCAUACAACUGGCACAACUGGUGCUGAUUCAAUCUUCUUUUCGGUCACUUUAGUGUCGAGUACAUAAGAAAAGUAAGCUUCAUAACCUUUUCUCACAUAUUUCUGAGCUAACAUCGAAGAAAUCACUAUCGGUAAACCAUUUAGAUCAUUAGACUUAAUCCGAAUUAUCUCAUCAUUCUGGCAUCGCAAUUCAAUAGUCUUCCCUUUGCAGUUCACAACAGCAUCAUAAAACGUUAGUCAAUCCAUACCCAGAAUUAUAUCAAAUGGAAACAACAUCAAAUCAGUCGAAAAACAUGAAUCUCAAAUCAUCAACGGGCAAUUCUUACAUACUUUAUCAACUAAGACACACCGGCCCAAGGGGUUUGAUACUCUAAUCACAAAUUCAGUAGACUCUACAGGCAAAGUCUUAUUGGAUACUAAAGUAUCACAUACAUAAGAAUGAGUCGAUCCAGGAUCUAUCAAUGCAAUAACACUAGUAUCAUAGAGAAUGAAAGUACCGGUAAUCACAUCUGGAGACGAAGUUUCUUCACGAGCUCAGAUGGCGUAGGCUUUAGCAGGUGCCUAGCCUCAGAUGGAACAGUUGUACCUUUUGUUGCUCUUUGACUUCCAUGCACAUUUCCCGUAUUUCUGGGAGGCCUACCUCUAGCUGAGGUGUUACUCGGUCUUGGAUUCUAUGCAAUCUCUUGCUCAGUAGACUCAGGACAGUCUCGAAUAAAGUGAUCUAAAAACCCACAUCUAAAGCAAGCUCGAUCAUUCAAUCUACGACUUCCGAAAUGUCUUUUACCAUAAUGCUUGCACUCAAGUUGGUCGGAUCGAACAUUUCCAACACUUACAAUUAAAGUAGCAGGAGCUUUGAAGCUCGAAUGCGAUCUAGCUCGAUCUCUGUUUGAAUGUCCUAUAUUAGCCUUUGAACGACUAUAAUCAUCUCAGAAUUUCUUGAUGCAGAUUGAAAUGAUUUACUCAAAGAUCUCUUUCUCACAUCUCUAGCUUCAGAAUCAGCUUUUCUUUUCUCUUUACCGAGUUCCUCAGCUUUGCAUGCUCGAUCAGCAAGUACAACAAACUUUUUUAUCUCCAGAAUACUGACUAACAGAUGAAUAUCUUCAUUCAGACCAUCUUCGAAUCUUUUACACAUUAUUUCUUCAGUGGAUACACAUUCUCGUGCAUAUCGGCUCAGUCGAACAAAUUCACGCUCAUAUUCCAUAAGAGACAUACGGCCUUCUUUUAGCUCCUGAAAUUCUUUACGUUUCUGAUCAAUAAAUCUCUGACUGAUAUAUUUCUUCCUGAAUUCAGAUUGAAAGAAAUCCCAGGUAAUUCAUUCUUUUAGAACAACAGAAGUCAGAGUUUUCCACCAUUGAUAGGUUGCAUCUCUCAACAAAGAAACGACACAUUUAACACAUUCGUCAGGAGUACACGACAUUUCAUCAAACACUAAGAUUGUGUUCUAAAGCCAAAACUCAGCUCUCUCAGCAUCAUCAUCAUUAGUGGCCCUAAACUCUUCGGCCCCAUAUUUUUGAAUUUUAUUGACUAGAGGCUUAUUCGUCAGAAUUAGAUUCAUAACCAGAGGCACAAAAAAAGUAGGAGGAAAAUUAGGCAGAGGCGGAGGUUGCUGAGCAGCCAGAUUCAUUCGUAAAAACUCCGUGAACCACCCAUUCAUCAUUUGGAAGAAGGCUUGUUUAGCCUCUCCCUCGUGGCUACUCGUAAUAGGUCUAGAAUCAGAUUGCACUACCUCUUGAGCAGGAGCGGGUGCAUUACUUUCCACAUCAUCUGCUACGGCUUGAUCAGGAUCCAUUUACUAUAUGAAAACACAUUUUCAAAUGUUUGGAAUCAUCAUACUAUCGCAAUAUAAGAAUAUGGCAUGUAUAGCUAGACUCACACGCACUACGUUAGUCCUAGAAUCGACUAAACCAUAGCUCUGGUACCAAUCAAAUGUAACACCCCUAGCCCGUAUCCGUCGCCGGAUUAGGGUCACGAGGCAUUACCGACCAAAACACAACUCAGAACAAUCUUUCAUUUUAAAUUAUGCACAAAUUAUAUUAAUUCAAUCACGAAAAUUUUAAACUCAAAUAGUAACUAGCAGUUAAAUCAUAUAAAUCACAUUCGCAUAUAUAGAUUACUUAACCAACUAAAAACCAAUCAUGCUUUACUACUUUUAAUACAUAAGUAAUUUAUGCUUUAAAAUUUAAACAUAUCAAUAUUAUUUACUUAAUCACCUAUUCGACCCAAUUAAUAUACAUCAUAUCAUAAUAUUUACUAUCUACUUAAUCACCUAUUCGACCUAAUUAAUAUUUACUAUAUGAAAACACAUUUUCAAAUGUUUGGAAUCAUCAUACUAUCGCAAUAUAAGAAUAUGGCAUGUAUAGCUAGACUCACACGCACUACGCUAGUCCUAGAAUCGACUAAACCAUAGCUCUGGUACCAAUCAAAUGUAACACCCCUAGCCCAUAUCCGUCGCCGGAUUAGGGUCACGAGGCAUUACCGACCAAAACACAACUCAGAACAGUCUUUCAUUUUAAAUUAUGCACAAAUUAUAUUAAUUCAAUCACGAAAAUUUUAAACUCAAAUAGUAACUAGCAGUUAAAUCAUAUAAAUCACAUUUGCACAUAUAGAUUACUUAACCAACUAAAAACCAGUCUUGCUUUACUACUUUUAAUACAUAAGCAAUUUAUUCUUUAAAAUUUAAACAUAUCAAUAUUAUUUACUUAAUCACCUAUUCGACCCAAUUAAUAUACAUCAUAUCAUAAUACAUAUACUAUAUAACUCCAAUAGCCAAACCUUAUGACCAAAGAUCAUGGCACUCUGAAAUUCAAUCAAUCAAUACUUUUAACCUAUUUAAAAGUUGUACCAAGCUAUCAUACAUUAAUAAAAUAUUGCAUGUUUUACAAACCCAUUAUUUGAACCUAUUUACUAUCAUAUCCAUACCAUUCAAAUAUUUAUAAUAUAUUCAAGCUUAUAUCAUUACAUCAUAUUUACUAAGCUUAUGUCAAAUCAUCCAUUGCAUAUAUUUAUUUCAUUAGCAAACUUUUAGCCAUGCUAUUUUAAACACUAUGCAUAUAUGCGUACUAAGUCAUAACACUCCAUAUCUUUAACUAAUUAUCAAACAUAUAAUUUUAUAAGAUAUAUAUAUGUGCGCAUAACACUCUAAAACGAAGCCAUUUCUAAAUUCAAAUACCAAAUCAUGCCUAACCCAAUUCAUUAACUAAUUUAUAAAAAUAGCAAUUUGUGUGUUAUGCAUAUGCUCACAUUUACUUAGGUUAAGCUUUUCACACACCUUAUUAGGCAUACAAAUAUAAAACAUAAGCAAGCUUCAUUAUAUAACCAAAUACAUUUGUAAACAUUACCAACCUAUGUGCAUUACACCAUAGCCAUCUUAAACAAUUUUUGAAUAUAAGCAACAAUUUUAAGUACACCGAUUCGCGUGCUAAUUAUCAUGCCCCAAAACACAUAAACACAACAAAUCAAUUAUCCCUAUAUUCGGUCAUUAAAUUUAGCAUGUAGUUAAUUACCAUUUCAAAUUGUACCCAAAUAACCAUUACACUAACAAUGAUAUACUCUUCUUUCUAUCUUCUUACCUAUUUAUUCAUGUCGAAUCAUGUCAUCAUAUAACACACAAAAUAUCCACAUAUCAUACUUCCAAAAUAUGCUACCUAUAAGACCGAAAAUGCAUACACAUCAUUUACCACCUUCAAGCCAAUUCACUAGACAAAUUGUACAUCCAAAAUAAGUUAAUAAUAAGCCACACCAAAUACCAAUUUCACAAUUUAUAGCAAAGUCAUCACAUAGCUUAUAGAUACAUGCACUACGAUUCAAAGACACAUCCAUCUACUACACAAGUUAUACCAUAAAACACAUGUCCAUAUGAGCUAAUUUGUUGGCCGAUUUUUCAUCAUACUUUUUAUUACUCAUUGCCGAAUCAUAAAACCAAACCCUUCAAGCACGUAAACCAUGAAACAUACCUCCAAAAUAAGUAUAAUUCAUAACCAAAUACACACAAGCCAUAAUAUUAUAAUAAACCCACUUUCACAUGGCUAUAUAUGUAUACAAAUUCAAAACCAAACAUAUUUAAUCUAGCCUAUACAUGUCAUAUGUUCAAAGUUUAAAACUUCAAAAGUACUGAAUGAUAGUCGAUAGUGUGAUCAUGAUCCUUGAUGAUCCCCGAGCUCGUAACUAGCUUCCAAAAUCUAUAAAACAUCAAUUGAACACAUAAUAAGCUUGGAUAGCUUAGUAAGUCAUAAGCAAAUAAAUCAUCAAAUGAACAUUAGCAUUAUAAUUUCAACUUGGCCAAAAAUAAACUAUCUCAUGUACACAUAAAUCACUCUUUUAGCAUGCAUAUUUAUAUCAUCAUCUCAAGUACUAUAAUUACCUUAUUUUCGUGAACAUUUAACUUCUCACGUACCUAAACCAUUUAGCUCGAUUUCACAUUCAAUCCAGACGUAGUCUUACAUAUAAUCAAAUAUCGAUGCCACUGUCCCAGACAAGGUUUUACACGAAGUCAUAUACGAUGCCAAUGUCCCAGACAUGGUCUUACACAUAAAUCUAGAGUCGAUGCCAACGUCCCAGACGUGGUCUUACACAAAAUCACAUACCGAAAUCAUAGGGUUCGUACGGGGAUUUUGGACGUCGUAAUUCAAUCGAUUCAUGCUCGUAACAAAUCAUUUCAUGCUAAAUUCAAUUCGGUAAUGUAGUUAUACAUACAUACAAUUCAAUUCGGCUAUGUACGAAAUAAAUUCAUACAAUUUAACAUCAUUUAUUCACUUACGGACAUACCUCGGACGGAGACGAAUGAAUGGAAUCGACAACUCGACCACUUUCGACUUCCCCCGAUCUAAUUUUGUUUUCUUUUUUUCUUGAUUUAUAUAAAUUAAAAUUUGGCUAUUUAAUAACACAUUUCAUACAAUUUAAUCCACCAACACAUAAUUAGGGCAUUUUUCACUUUAGCCCCUAAAAUUCACAUUUUUGACAUUUUAGUCCCUAUUUCAUAAAAUCACAAAAUACACAAAAUUUCAUAUUUCCCAUGCUUGGUCGAAUAUUCAUAUAGUUCAUAUAAGCCCAUAUCUUUCAUUUAUUUCACAUUUUAACCCUUCAAUUUCUCAUUUUCACAAAUUAGUCCAUACUAAGCAAAUUCAUCAAAAAUCACAAUAUAAAAUAUAUUUAUCUACCAUCAAGCUUUCAUAUUGCACCAUUUAACAUCAAAAAGCUUACAAAAUCAACAAUGGUAUAACUCAAAUUCGUCAUUAAAUUCUGAAAUUUAAGCAUGGGCUUGACAAAACACAAAGCAACGAUAUCAAAAACGUAAAAAUUAUCAAAAAUCGAACCAAUUACAUACCUCAAUAAGCAAAAUGAGUGUCGAACCUAGCUUGCUAUUUUUUUUCUUUCUCUUUCUCUUUCUUUUUCUUUUGAUUUUUAGCAAUGGGAAAGAUGAACAUGCAAAAUAAAUUUUCAUGUUUUAUUUAUUUUAUUAUCAUUUAAUAUUCAUUUACUAAAUUAACCUUAAUGAAAUAAUAUGAAAGCUUUAUAAUGGUUGCCCAUCUUUGUCCACUCAAAUAUUUAAUAGCAAAUUUAAAACAUAAGGAAUCCAUAAUUAAUUAAUCAAAGAAAUUAAGCACUUUAACAUAUAGAAAGCCACUUUUACAUUUUCUGUGAUUAAGUCCUUUUUCAUAAAUCGGCACACAAAAGAUAAAAUUUUCACAUGAAAUUUUCACACAUAUUAAUUCACAUACUGUAAACACGAAAAAUAAUAUAAAAAUAAUUUUAUAACUUUGAAUUUGUGGUUUCAAAACAACUAUUUUGAUUUAGCUAAAAUCAGGCUAUUAUAGGAUGUGUAGUGAGAAUUAGGGGAGAAGAUUAAGGGAUUUUGGGGGUUAUCGGGGUUUUAUUUUUUCUCCUAUAGCUGAAUUUUGAUUUUCUUUUCCAAAAAUAUUCUAUCGUCUAUUCUUUUCCCUUUCCUCUUGCCGAAAUUCUCUAAGUUUUCCCAUAAUUCUCUUCUUGUUCUUCUUCAUGAUUUUCCCUAAUCCAUUUAUUUUCCUUUGUUUUUGCACGCGAUUAGUGCUCGCUUAGUUUCGGUAAGUAUUUCCCUUCGUUUCUUUCAUGAAUCUCUUAGUGACUGAAGUGGUAAUGUUUUUUCUCUAUGAUUUGGGCACAGGGGGAGGCUCAGACUGGUGAAUUCAGUGUUCUCGUCUUAACAAUAGUUAAACGGAGGGUUAUCGUUGGUGGUAAGUUGGGUUUCUGUUCGUUAUUUGUUUCCAAUUCGCUUGUAAAUCCAUUAAAUUAAUGUUGAGUAUCUUGAUUUUAGGCUUUGGAGUGCUUUGGGACUGUUAUAGCUUCAAACAAAACCAGGUGUGUACCCAAAACACACACAAAAAAAAGGAUUCGGCGAAAUGCCAAAAUUUCUUGCUGUUUGGACAGUAGAAGUAGGCUAACUUUGAAAAAUAGCCAUAAAUUGUGGAUAUCGAAUUAGAGGGUGAAUAAAAUAUGGAAUUAAAGCUUAUUGAGUCUAGUUUCUCAUAGAAGAAGCGGCGUAAGUAAUGAAAUUUUAAAUCGUAAGGUAUAAUAAACUUUGUGAUGCAAGGUCAGAAUGAAUUCAGGUUCCCCUGUUCUGACUUUGGAAAAUUAUCAAAAAUUGAAGAAUAAUAAUUACGGGUUAAAAUUUUUUUGUUUAAAUUAUUAAUGAGUUUGUUUUCAAUGGAAGUAAAUGGAAACAUCAUCCAAAUUUUGUAGUAAGAGAUAAUUAAUUUUUAGCAGUGAAGGGUUGAAACUGUCACACAACAGAAGAGGGGAAAGUUUGAAGAUUUUACUGUACUUAUUGGCUAAAUCAAAAAUUCUAAAAAUUUUAUGGUAGAAAGGUAUUUGAGUCUAGUUUUAAAGACAUUAAGCAGAUCUUAAUUCAAAAUUCUGUAGCUCAAGAUAUAAAUAAUUUACUAACAAUGACUCAAGUAGAUAGCUUUGAAGGAACAUAUAAAUAAAUAGUGAAAACAUAUAUGAAUAAUUAACUAGCACGGGUUAAAUUAAAUAUGGAUCACGCGGCCAAGGCCAAUUUGGGCCGAGUGGGCCACAUAGGCGUGUGAGCCCAUUUUUCUAAAAUGUUCUGUAAGGUUGCACGGGUCGCCCAAGUCGACUGUGGACCUACUGUAGGGUCGGUAAGCUUUACUUAUACCCCUAUAUGUGUGAUCUGUCUGUAUGAUUUCUAUACCGAGAAUGACUUAUGAUAUAUGAAUGUAUGUCUAUUAAUUGCAUAAUGGCAUGACAUAUUUUGUAUGUUGCAUUGCAUCAGGGUGGGUUGAUGAUAUGUGGAGGAAGUGUCUGAAAGGCUAUUAAGCCUGUUAUCUGGCAGCUCAGCUGCAACCUUCUGAUUAUGUGCUGCAUUUCGGUACAGCAUGGUGUGUAGGGAUGGAUGGGUUGAUUUAAUCCCACAUGGUGUGUAGGGUUGGACAGAGAUAGUGUGUAGAGGCUGGUGGGUAGGAUUCUGAUUUAUUGUAUCUGCAUUCUCUUUCUGAUAUUGGCCAAGGCCCUAAUGUAUUUUUGAAACUGUAUCUGAAUGGGCUAAGGCCCAAACUGAUUCUGUGAUGGGCACAGGCCUCAAACUGUAUCUAACUGAAUUCUGUUGAAUAUCUGUAUGCAUGUUUCCUGUGGGGAUUACACAUGAAAACUCACCCUUUUUCUGUUUAAUCUGUACAGGUAAUCCCCAGACUUGACGGGUCGACGCAGCGAAGGACUCAACGGUGGCCACACGUAAAUUUUAGAUUGUUUUUCAUUAAUGCCUAAAAUUUAUUACUGAUUUAGGGUUUUUAUGUAACUUUUGGACUAUGGACUGGUUGGCUUUAAAUUUGGGACUUUAUACUGUUUUUAUGGAUUUUUUUUUUAAAAACUGCAACUUAACAAAACACGAUUUUUCUAAAAACUAAGGUUUUUGUAAAUAAAAAUGAUUUUCCCUAAAUUAAUUAGUUACAAAAGCUUCCGCUAAGAGACAAGUUUUAAAGCAAAUCAACUAGUUUUGUUUUUGAAUUUGAUAAAAGCUAACUUACUGUAAUGGUUUUUAAACUCGAUAAUCUUGUCUUCAAAUCCCAUUCCAGGUGACAUCGCCAGAUUCGGUCAUAACGUCUAGGUUGAGUUUAGAGUGUUACACAGUUAUCAGAUACAUAGCAAAUCCCAGUAAAGAACAUUGGAAAAUAGUUCAGUGGAUUUUAAGAUACUUACGAGGUACUGCUGAUGUUUGCUUACAGUUUGGAACUACUAGAGAUGGAGUCAUUAGGUAUGUUGAUGUUGAUUUUGCUAGAGAACUUGAUAAAAGAAUAUCUCUCACAGGUUAUUUCUUUACAAUUAGAGGUUGUGCAAUCAAUUGGAAAGCCACUUUGCAAACUACAGUCGCUUUGUCUAUCACUGAAGCUAAGUACAUGGCGAUUACUGAGGCUUGUAAAGAAACUAUUUGGUUGAAGGGACUCUUCAGUGAACACAAUGAAAACCUUCAAAUCAGUACAGUAUUUUGUGACAGUAAGAGUGCCAUAUUCCUUACAAAAGAUCAAAUGUUUCAUGAAAGAACAAAACACAUUAAUGUUCGGUAUCAUUUUGUUCGUGAUAUUAUUACUCGUGGUGAUAUUAUUGUGAGCAAAAUUAGUACGCAUGAAAAUCUUGCAGAUAUGAUGACUAAGUCACUUCCUAUAACCAAGUUUGAGCAUUGUUUAGACUUGGUUGGUGUUCAUUGUUGAAGUUAAACCCUUAAGGGGUUUUAUGGAAGACGUGUAAAACUUGUUCGUUGAGAAUUCGUGUCAAGGUGGAGAUUGUUAGAGUUGUGUGACCCAAAUUCUAAGAGAUUGUUUGCAAGUCAAGUUAAACAAAAUAUAUCUUCUUUCUAGAAGAUUUAGUAUUUAUGAGUAUAAAUAUAUUUAGUAUUUAUUAGCAUAAUAUAGUUGACUUUGAUUAGAAUUAGGUUUUUUAACCUAUAAAUAGUUGUAGUCGAAACUCCUCUUGUAAUCAUUCGAAUUUGACAUAAUGAAUUUUCUUCUCCUCUGCCAAUUGUUUUUACCUAAAAAGGUUUCCACGUAAAAAUUUGUGUGUUCUUUAUUUUUAUUUCUCUUUUGUUUGCGAUAUAUUGUCAUCACCGACGUUCUAUUUUUACAGGUACCUUUCUAGCUCACCACAUAUCCUGACUCAAAUAGGGGUAUAACAUAAGAAUGCAAGUGUCAAUGUAUAAUAGAGUGAACUCAUAUGUAUGUACAAGACUUGUGUAAGGGGGUUUCUUGGAUGUCACAAGGCCUUUCUACUUGUUUUUUGGUUUUACCAUUAACGGAGUGUGACUUGGUUUUGAGAGUAUAAUGGUUUAAAAAUUUAGACCCUAUUCUUUGGGGUUUCAAUGAGCUCACCAUGAAAUUUUCUCUAGGUAAAAAUAAAUAUCAGUUGAAAGGGUUGCUCGCAUGUAACGCCCAAAAAUUUUUAAUUCUUGUUUUUGUGUUUAUGUGACAUAAGUAUUUGACUGCUUCAAUGGUUAAGUGCUUUGGGUGUGUUUGUGAGGUUCCAAGUUCAAGCCAUGACUUGGGAAAAUUUUAGUAUUUUUAUAAAUAAAGCCUUAACCUGGCCUAAAGGGCUUAAGUUUAAUAGUUGGUAAUCAAAUAACAGAAUGGGUCUGCUGGUCUAGUGGUUAAGUGGAGUGUUUGAUUACAUGAGUUCUUAAGUUCGAAUCUGUGCUAGAGCGUAGGCAUUAUUUUUGCACAGUGAUGGACAAGUAUUUCGGUAGAGUAGGAUUCUAGAGUGGUUGUAGGUUAGUAGGAUUAGUCGGAGAAAAUUUAGGGAUGUGAGGUAGCUAUCAAUAUCAUCUAAAUUUCUAUUUGGUCUUUAUUUUUCACAAAUUUUGGCAUUCUCCUAUUUUCCCUAAUUUUUGUGGCGUUCUCUUCUUCUUUGCUUUGCCAAAUUUUUGCUCCCUAGUCCACCCUCUCUGUUUGAUUUUUCUACUAGCCUACUUUCCGGCCAGCAAUUGUAUACACUCAUUCUGUAAGUAUCUAACUGCCUCUAUUUUAUCGUUUCUUAGCUAGUUUCAAAAAUGAAUUGUUUUGGCUCUCUUGGUUUAGACAAAAAUCAGAAAUCAGUCGUGGCUUGACAAGCAAAGUGAGCAUUAGAAAUUUUGGUUCGUUGCUGGUAAAUGUUUAGGUUCGCUAUCGAUUUUGAUGUAGACGAUUUUUAGUUCUGAGUUUUCAUUAGUGAUCUAAGUUGGGCUCUAAUUAUUUAUUUUUAGGCCUUGAAGUGCUUGGGAGCGUAUUUGCAGCGAAACGAUACCAAGUGUGUACCUGAAACACCAAAAUAAGGGAUUCGGAAAAAAGCUGAAAUUGCUUGCUGUUUGAAUAGUAGUAGUAGGCUAACUUUAAAAAAUCACCAUAAAUUAUGGAAAACAAAUUAGAAGAUGAGAAAAAUAUGGGAUUAAAGAUAUUUGAGUCUAGUUUCUCAUAGAAGAAAUGAAUUAAGUAAAAGAAAUUCAUAUUAUGAGAUAUUUGAAUUUUAGUGAGAUAGAAUCAAAAUGAUUUUGGAAUCCCCUAUCCUAACUUUGGAAAAUUAUUAAAAAUUGUAUAAAAAUAAUUAUGGGAUAGGAUUUAUAUGUUUAAAAUAAAGAAUGAGUAUAUUUUCAAGAGAAACAAACAAGAAUAUCAUCUGAAUUCUGUACGAGAAGAUAAUUAAUUUUUAGUGAAGAAACGUCAAAACUGUCAGAAAAUAGAAUAGGGGAAACUUUAAAGAAUGAACUGUACUUAUUGGCUAAACGAAAAAUUUUAAAAAUUUUAUGGUAAGAAGAUAUGCGAGUCUAGUUUCAGGAAAAAUUUGCAAAUCUUAAUUCAUAAUUUUGUAGCUUAAGAUACAAAUAAUUUAGUAAUAAUGACUCAAGUAGAUAGCUUUGAAGGAUCAUUUAAGUAAAUAGUGGAAACACAUAUAAAUAAUUAACUAGCACAGGAUACAUUAAAAUGGAUCAUGAGGCCAAGGCCAAUUUGGGUCAUGUAGGCCACACGGGCGUGUGGGCCUACACAGGCGAACAUCAUGGGCUUGUAGGCCCAUUUUCACUGUUUUACUACUAAAGUUGCACGGGUCGCCCAAGUCGACUGUGGACCUACUGUAGGGCCGGUAAGCUUACCUAGACCUCUAAUUGAUUGAAAUGACUAUAUGAUUGAUAUGAUUAAGCUUGAUGAUGUCCCACUGAUUUGAUACUGUACGCCCUGUUUACAUGCAUGAUAUUAUAUUAUAGCAUGUCAUAUCUGUAUAAUGUUCAAAGGAAGUGUACUGAAAGGCCUCGAGCCUAAUUUACUGGCAGCAGCUGCAAACUACUAUCUAGUGAUUAUAUCCCCACAUGGAGUGUAGGGUUGGACGAAGAUGAUGUGUAGAGGCUAGAUGGGUAGGAUUUUGUUUUGUGACUGCAUAUCUAUUACUGCUACUGAUACUGUGAUAGGCUAAAACCCUACUGCAUGACUAUUUUUGUACUAAGAUGGGCUAAGGCCCAAACUGGGCUGAUACUGAUACUGAAAAGGGCUUAAGCCCAGAUUAUGAUUAUUUGUUUACUGUCUGUUCAUUUGUAUGGGGAUUACACACCGAGUUUAUGUAAACUCACCCCUUCUAUUUAAUCUGUAUAGGUAAUCCCCAGAUUUAGGCAUAUCGGUGCACCGGAGGACUCAAUGGUGGCCACAUGACUUCUUCUACACUGUUUACUACCUAUUUAUGAUUUUACUUUUAUUUGGGAGUAUUUUGCUGUAAUUAUGGCCUUUACAAAUUAUGGUUUAAAAUUUGGAUUUUAUACGGUUUUAUGAUUUAAAUCUGCUAGUGUUAGGUAAAACUCGGGUUUUCAAAUGAAAUUAAUGUUUUAUCAAAAAUACCACAAAUAAGCAAAUUGUUUAAAAGCUUCGGCAAUAAAAAUAAAAAAAUAACAUUUUGAAAUUGAAUAAUGAUUUGUAAAUGAAUAAUGUUUUGAAAACGAACGACACGAUUUGAAGUUAAAAUAAGAUAAUAAAAAAUGGUUAAAUAGAAAAGAGGAUUUAGCGACGACAUAUUUUUUCGAAAAGCACUACCAUGUAACAUCGUCAGAUUCGGCUAUAACGUCUAGACUGGGUUUGGGGUGUUACAUCGCAAGUGCAAUUUUUGUUCUUACAUGUAAGUAAUUUAGCAAAAUCUCGACUAUUCUUUGCAAGUUUGUACACUAUUAAUGACUAAAAUCCAAACUACAGAAGAGUUGGAUAUUCAUUCACUUAAGUUAUCUAGCGACCUUUCAUACUUGGUGCUGAAAUAUCACCUUGUUUUUGAACUUUCACAAGGGUUUCCACCGCUUAAUGUUCAAGAUCAUCAAAUCCAUAUAAAAUAUGAGACUCAAGUUGUAAAGCUCAGACCUUACAGGUACGCAAUGGUGCAAAAAAAAGAAAAGGAGAUUAGGAAACUUGUAGAAGAAAUGAAUGAGGAUAGAAUCAUUCAGGAAAACACUAAUAUUUCGUUUAGUUGGAGUAUUAUUUUUUGUUCAUUUUUAAGUAUAUAAGUUAUGAUAUAUUAGUUCAGUUGAUAAUAUUUAGUUACUUCAUAACUUAUUUUUUGAAAAGAGAAGGGAAAAAAUUUUGCUUCUUUUGAAGAGAUCUUAUUUUUUAUAAGUGUUUUUACUCAUAUUUCAAAUUUCAAAUUUAAAUUUGUACAAACUAUUCUUUAUUUUAUGCCCAACUAUUAUAAUACAUAUGUAAUAAAUAAGUGUUUUCCUCAUAUUAUGACACUAGUAAUUAAAGGAGACAUAUAUAAACCCUUUGCAUCACAUUUGUUCUAGUGAAAAUGAAAUAUGGGUAUUGGAGAAAACCUGUGGACUACUAAGAGCUUAACGAAUUAAUUAACGUUUAGGUUGUGUUUGGUUCACCGAGUUUUAGAUAUGUCUAGUAAUAAGAUUACGGAUGGAAUGUAAGAUUAUAUUAUUUAGUUCAUUUUGACUAGAAUGUAAGAUUCAUAUGUUUGAUUGACGAAAUAUAAUAUUACUUAAAAACAAAUUUUAUUAUAUUGCUCUUAUUAUAGAAUUUGGUCUUUACAAGUUGAAUUCCUUUAAUAUUUGUAAUCUCAUUUUUUUCAUAAAUCUAUAAUAACUUAAUAAAUUUAUUUUUAUUACACCUUGAUUUCAUCAAAUCAAUUCAAUUAAACAGCCACUCAACUUUAAAAUUACAACAACUAACCGAUCUCUUUGCUUGUUUAAAAUUACGACAAGUGACAGAUAUCUUUACUUGACAUAUCAUUUUUUAUCAUAAUUUUUUUCCCAAUUAAUAAUCACUCAUAAAAAUAGACAACAAUUAGAGACUGAAGUGAAUUGAAAUUAAAUACGAUAAGGUAACACUCUUUACCCUUAAAAUAUGUUAAAUACAACCGAUAAAAGUAAUUAUUCUAAAAGGCUUCACUCACCUCUUAAUAAUGAAACUAGAUUUUUAAAUAUUUAUCAAAAAAUCCUUCACCUUUGUAAUAUUUUGUUAAUUAAUGAGAUGGCAUAUUAUGGUGCAUUAGUUGUGCAUAGGACUCAUGCACUGAGAGUGCAUCAAAUAUAAUCUCUUAAUAUAAAUGAUAAUAAAAAUUUACUUUAACAUAGUUAUUUUACCAAUUGAGUUUUAACUCGAUUGAUAGUAUAAGAGGACGUGGGUUCGAGCAUGCUGAAGCGCAAAAAAUUAAUAUAAUAAGAAUCUCAUGAAAACAUCACAUAAUAUCUCAUAUUGUAUGUAUUCAAUCUUAAAUAAUAGCUUUUCAAAUGACCAUUUGAACGUAUUUACUAAGCAUUUAUAUCAACAUUAUUUUGAAAGUCAUGAGUGAGGAAAAUUUUGGGGGAAAUAUAUUUUGAUCUCUUCAGGAGGUUCAACAAUAAUCAUAACUAAUUUUAAUCAUGAUCCCUCUAUAAAAAUACAAAUAGGUAUUUUUGGAUCAUUUUAUAAUCCUCUUUUAACUACUAUUGAUUAAGUCAAAUUUACCACACGUGUUCAAUUAUUUCAAUUCAUAUAAAUGAACAAUUUCCCGAUAAUUUCAAUAUGCUUUUGGCAUUUAAAAUUCUUUAAGUAUUUUAAUAUAAGCUUUACUAUAUAGUGAUUCAUAAAAGAUUGUAACAACAACCAGUAGACGCAAGUUAAAUAUUUUAUGAAUUGUUAGUUUAAUAAUAUAUCUGAAGGUUAUUACAUCCACCACAAAAGAAUAUUAUAUCUUUUCAUAAUCAAUGCCAGAACAUAGCGAAAAACUUCAUAUUUUUAUCAUGAUUUUGCAAAACUACUUCAUUUGCACCCUCAUUGACUUUAUACCUUUAGAUAUUUGGAUUACUGGUCCAAAAAUCCACAAAUUAAUUGUACUUGAGUUGUAUCUUUCUAUUUGACCAAUUUAUUCCAUAUCUAUAUUUUUCAAUAGAUUUAUUCAAGAUCCUCUUUUUAUUUCAUUAUUUCAAUAAUAAUAUUGCAUGCAAAACCAUUGUCAUCCACUUUUAUUACUGGUUCCACAUUUUCUUGAACUGACAUAACUUAUCGAGAUAUGUUAUUUUCACUAUUUUAAUCUUCAGUUUCAGGUACCUGAAUCUUUUCUGGAGUUUUAGUUAUUUGUUAUGUCUUGGGUCUCUUCGAGAGUACCCACCUCCACUAUAUGACCAUUUAGAAGAAUUUUUUAAUCCUUGGAACCGAUCAAUCUAUUAUUUAUUCUAACUUAUUGUCCUACUGAGACUUUAGUUCAAAAUAUUAUAUGGUAUAUACAUAUGGUUGUUCUCACUAAGUUUGUAAAUACAUCUGACAAUUAACUUGUAAUGAGUUAUCCUUAUUGAACUUCUGGUUCCAAUUACACUCCCCCUAACUUAUUACAAGUUAUUUUAUUUCUCUCCCUCUAAUGUCGGGAAAACUAUCAAAUCAAGAUAGUAAUCACAAAUCAUGCCAUAAUUGAAUCUACAAUACAUUUGAAGCAUCUAAUAAUACAAAGAGACUUGUAAUUAAUAUAUAUUCCCAAAUUUCUUUGAGGAUUCACUCAUCUUUAUGCAUUGUGGUGGAACAAUUGGAACAUAUAUGCACAUACAAAAAUUCAAAGAUAGGAAAUAUUUAGCUCUUGAUCAAAAACCAAUUGUAAUGGGGAGUAUUUGUAACUAAUUGGCUUGAUAAAUCAACAUAAUCACAUGUUGAAAGAGGAAGUUUAGUUCUCAUAAGUUACAAUUUAGACAUUAAUCAGAGGCGUUCAAUCAAUAAUUUCUCUAAGCCAUUAUGCGCAUAAAUAACAAACUUUUACAAAAAAUUUUCAAACUCAAUCAAUAAAAUACUUAGAUAUAAACUAAUUAGUAUUAGAAAGAUGAAUUGUCUUAAUUGCAUGAUUUGAAAUUAAUUAUUUAAAUAAGCAAUCUUGCAAACGACAUGUUGCAAGUUGGUAACACAUAUGUGAUUAUUUUGUAGAUGCAUCUAUCAAAAUCAUAUAAUAUCAAAACCAUUCACAUGGUGGACAAGUGAACCCAUAUUCAUUUUAGAAAUAUAAGACAUUAAAUCUCAACUUUAACUAGUGAGUUUUUAACAAUCAAUUUUCAUUGAGAAUAAGUAACAAAUCAGAACUCUUUAAGUUAAAGAAUCUUCUGGUUCUUUAAUGAAUGUCCAUAUGAAUUAUCAAUUAAUUUUCGCAUCAUUUAUGAUCUAGGAUUGUCUAAUUGGUCACGCCAAGUAGUAAAUGUAUUUGUAUUAGUAAACUUCUGAUUUACUUUAAUAUGCGUUUCAAUUGUACUAAAUUAUAACAAAUUGGUGCUUUUACUAUCAUCCCUUUUACUUUGUGUCCACAUAUAAGUACUAUUGUGACAUUUACUACUGUAAAUAUCUAAAUCAAUGUGAAGUCUAUAAUGUCGCUAUGUCAAUAAAUAUAAUUUCAAAAUAAUUAUAUGCAAUAUUCACUUCAGGAAGUAUGUCAAAAUCUUCAAAUGCAGGACAUUUGGUCUAGUGGUAUGAUUCUUGCUUCGGAUGCGAUAAGUCCCGAAUUUGAUUCAAAAUACUUUUAAAACCCUUUUAAAAAGAGUUUUGCAUAGUCAGUUAACUACCAAGAAUAAUUGCCUAGGUCAUGUAUAGAAACAAACAUAUAUUAAAUAUAUCAAUAAACGUCACAUAUCAAAUAUAAAAAUAUAUAUGACAUAAUGAAAAACUAACAAUUUUUUUCAUAAUCAUCAUCAUAAACAUGCAUGAAAUUUAAUUCAAAAUACAACCAUUCAAGCUCAUAGAACUUUUCAUUUACAAUUGCUCAUGUCAUUUAUCUAAAUAAUUAACAAAUGGAAUAAUAUAAAACGUAUGAACUACUACUUUUAAUUAUUCUUUGAACUAAAUCAAAUUCGAAUAACCAUAAAAUUCAUUGGUUUAUUAACACAAAUUUACAUACUAGAUAUGUUUUAACCAAAUAUAUUAUUUAAUUAUAAAACCUACUAUAGCAACAUAAAUUAGUUAAUAUUCAUUUUCAUGAACAAAUGAGAUGCUAAAAAUAAUAUGUAACCUGUCGAAACCAUUUUUUUGAAAAAUAAAAAUUUUAGGUGUCAACUUUAAAAAAAAAUAAAUGGGAGUCGCCACCAAUCUUUUAUUGAGGUGUGAUUGGAUCACCUAAAAAAAUGACUUUGGUCUACGAGUUUUAGAAAAACGGAUCCGGGAGUCAGUUACGUACGAGGAAGGAUUAGCACCCUCGUAACGCCCAAAAUUAGUACCUAGUUAAUUAAUUAGUGUCUUAAGGUCGAGGAUUUUGAAAAAAUGUGAUCCUUAGCAAAACUUAAAAGGUUACGUAUUAAGACCCUUAUUAUUUCAGAGAAAGAAGAUACCACACCCAAUGCGUUAGGGCACAGCAUUCUAAUUUUCCCCAAAAUGAAUUGGGCCAAAAUACUUGUACAAUAAAACUUUAAAAGAACAUCCACUUAUCCAAGAUUUAAGAAAUCACACCCAAUACGUUAGGGCACGAUUCCUUUAGAAUCCCAAACUUGGAAUAUUUCCUUUACUUUAAAAGAACAUCCACUUAUCCAAGAUUUAAGAAAUCACACCCAAUACGUUAGGGCACAAUUCCUUUAGAAUCCCAAACUCGGAAUAUUUCCUUUAUUAUUUUUAAAAAAAAUCUUCAUUUCAAGAAAUCAAUACGUCACAUACAAUACGUUAGGACACAACGUGUUGAAUUCCCAAUAAUGAGUUUUUAUUUUUUUGAUUAAAGAGAAAUGCUCGAUUGUUAGAUUUAACGAAGAAAAUCAGAACCCAAUACGUUAGGGCUCAAUUUCCUUGAAAAUCCUAAAUACGAACAUUAUCUCAAAAAAAAAUUCUAUUUUAAAAUUUGAGUAAAAAAAUGAUGUAACAUUAUUUUAUACGUACAAAUGCUAUAAUAAUAAUAACAACAAUAAUAAAUACAUCAAUGACAUAAAAAUAAUAUAAACAAAUGAAUAAACGAAAUAAAAAAACAGUAAUCCAUGGCAUGCAAAAUAUUAAAUGUAAACACAAUUAUACAAUGAAUGGGAAAGCAAACAAAAUAAAUAAAGAUCAGAAGACGUAUAAUAUACACAUGAAAAUUAUGAAGAUAAAAAAUAUACAUAUAAUUUACAAAUAAAAUUUUGGGUUAUAGAAUUUAUAUAUAAAUAUAAUACAUAAUAUACUUAUGCAAAUAAAGAAAAAAUAUAAUUAUACGUACAUAUAUAAAAUAAUAAAAAAUAGGUAUAUUUUAAAAAAGAAAAAUUGAGUAUUUAAUCAUUUAAAAAAACGUAAAUAUAUACAUAUAAAUAUGAAAAUAUUUAUUAAAAAAUAUAGGAAAAUAUUAGUUUAAAAAAAUAUUAGCUGAAAAAAUAAGUAUGUUCAUAAAAAUAUACAUAUAUAGAUUUUUAAAAAAAUGAAAAUAAAAAUAAUAAUUACUAUCAAUUAAUAAAAUAAAUAAAAAGAACAUAAAAAAACUAAAUUGAAUUGCAAUUAAAAAAUUUGGGGUAAAUCCGCAAAUAAAUAAAAGUAAAAUGACUAAUUUGAACGCGCGAAUUACGUAGAGGGGCUGGAAGGAAAAUUUUCCCUUCUCCUCUAAAAUGGCGCCGUUCAAAUGGAUCAAAUUGGAAUUUAAAAUAAAUAAAAGGGUAAAUUAAAAAAAACUUAAUUACAAAAACAUUAAAAGGCGGAGGGGCUAAAUAAAAAUAAAUAAAAUUCGCAGUGGUGUCACCUUCUCCUUUUUUUUUAAAUCGUAAAUAAAUAAAAAAUAAUCGAACGAAAAAUAGUAAACCACCUUUAAAAACUGCCAAUCGUUCCCUUUUUUUAUUCCUCCUUUUUCUUUCUUUACAAUGGAGGGAGAGGCCUCUAUUUAUAGCUGAGCCUCCCCAAAUCCUACGGUACAAAUCAGUUACAUCAACGGCUGAGAUUAAAUGGUAUCUACAAAUUAAAUCUCUAAGAUUACAAAAUCAUAUAUUCUAAGAUUGCAUAUCAUAUCUAAGAUUAUAUAUAUCAUAUCUUGGAUUGCAUAUCAUAUUUAAGAUUGCACAUCCUCAAAAAUUAUGUUUCCAUAUGUGAGCCCGGGCUAAAAUUUGGUAUUACAGCUGCCCCUCUUUGCUCGUUCUUGUGUAACAGGGACGAAGCAAAGACUUUAAAAAUGCCCGAUUUUGUCCGGUCGUGCUGAACCUUGGUACAUCUUCAGAAGUAUAGGAAUUAGUGCCAUCUUCAGUCUGCCUCACUGCAACUUCAGGAGGAUAAGACUUGCUUAUUUAGUCUGCUCCACUGCAACUUCAGGGAGAUAAGACUUGCCAAUUUUAGUCUGCUCCACUGCAACUUCAGGAAGAUAAGACUUGCCAAUUUCAGUUUGCCCCACUGCAACUUCAGGAGGAUAAGACUUGCUUACUUAGUCUGCUCCACUGCAACUUCAGGGAGAUAAGACUAGAUGCGAUCUGCUCUCUGCAACUUCAGAGAGAUAAGAUCUGAGGUUUUAAUCCACUCCACUGCAACUUCAGGGAGAUAGAACUAUCGACUUUAAUCUGCUCCAUUGCUAUUUCAGGGAGAUAAGACUUGCCAUCUUCGAUUUGCUCCGCUUGAUGCAAGAAGGCAAGAUCUGCUAUUUUCACUGAUCUGUUCUCUGGGGAACAUGACCUGUAUAGUGAACCUAAUUAUGCCUAAUGAUUAGGAUGGCAUGAUCAAAAUGCAUCAAAUGCUCAUAACUAGACAUGUGUGAAUGGUGUUUGUAUGAAUGCAAAAUUUAUUUUUCCGAGAAUAAUCCCGCUUAGGUUGUCAUUACUCGAAGUUUAUUAAGGCUUUGUGACUGACGUGCUACAACGCCCUCUUGCUUGACUGGCUUUUCUGAAGAAACAUUUAGCCAGGCUGCCCCCCACUGUGAACUUUAAAGUUCAAUCCACUGGGACGCCAAAAUUCGUAACAUUUUCUCCCACUGUAACCCAAGGGUAGAAAUAUAUGGCUUUUCCUCAAUCCUCUCCUUUCACAAUUCAAGGAUACAAGAUCUAAAUUUUUCUGGUCUCUUACACCAUUCCCAGGGUAUCGUACCAAAGGCUCAUGCGCAAAUGAAGGCUCUCUUCUCUGAGGUAACCUCUUCCUAUUGUCUAGUGACCAUUACUUGCUUGUUCAUUUUAAGCUUUGUCACCAAACUGACAUCUUGUUAUGUUAUUCAAUCAAUGUUUUUGACAACAAAAUCCAAAGAGAAAGUCUUAAUUUGGACUCUUCCUUCUCAAAUUUCCAGGCUUUAAACUUGGUGCUUUCUAAACAAUAGUCCUAUUUCAGGUUCCUGUAUUAUUUAGAAACUUCUAGAGUAAUAUGCAAAACCUCCCUUGUGAAAGUUUUAUUAGUCUAUUAAUCAUUAUUCCAAUGCAACAUGCUUGCAAAAAGGUCAUAAGAAUAAAGUUAGUUCUGAGCAUAGCUCGAAAGGAAUGAAUUAUCAAAAAUAGUAAAGAAGAAUAACAAAGAAAUUGAUUGGGAAUGUGUAUCUUGGAAAAGAAUGAAGUAUUCCAAGAACAACAAAUUCAACAUAAAUAGUAUGAAAAUUGGGUGCCCCAGAUAUCGCAGCUUGAACUUCUCUGCACAAACUUUCUGAAGACCAUUCUGAGUUUGUCAUGUGCUUAGGAGAUCUACAGCACUCUGUUGAUACCCCAAGAUGUCGCAUACCCUUUCCUGUUGAUUCAGGUAUAGCAAGACCACUGUCUAUCCUAUUUUGAUCAGUAAUUUGAGCUACUCUGAUUACCUCAUACCCCAUUCUAAUCAAUAUUUGAGCCACCAUUUUCGGGUUUUCAACUCAAAUCCACCUUUGGUCUAAGGCGCCCUUUGCGGGUUUUCACCUUAGCCUCUCCAUUUUAUUUCCACUUUUUAAUUUUUUUCAUUUCGUCAUUUUUCAUCAUCAUUUUUUUUGACUCAAAGUGCCCUUUGCGGGUUUCUUACCUUGGUCAUCUCCUUCCUUAAGCGAAGUAUUUCCUGACUGAAUCUGAGUUUAACAGGACUUUGCAGGUUUAUCAUCCAUCUCGCUCAAAAUCAAAGCUCAUUUGAAAAAAAACCUUCUCUAUAACAUAAGGUUCUUCCCAAUCCAUUUCCCUCCAAAAUAUUUUUUGUAGAGGGAGGAUCUUCAACAUUAGGUCACCCUCAUGGAAUUCUUUGGGAUGAACCUUUUGUUAGCUCGCAUCAUUUUCUUCUAGCGUAUUUGACUAUGAUGGAUAACUUUGAAUAUUCCUCUUCAAUCAGAAUUGGAUCCAAAAAAAACUCAAAAAGAAAGAAUCUUAUCUUUAAUAGGAAAAAAACCGCGAUAGGCCCAAGAGAAAAGGCAAAGCCCUGACAGAGACAAGCCCUGGUCACCCCUUUCGACCAGAAUCAAUGUCAUUCCAGAUAAGGUAUUUCACAUAAAAAUCUUCCACUUUCAUUUUGUAUGCAAACGAUUUUCUUUGGUAUCAGGUUUCUCUCGUAGGGCCUUUUGGGGAAAAAUUUAACUAUGACGAAAAAACUUUAAAUCUUCCUCUUCAAUACGAAGAAAUGGCGACUUGACUUUAACUGGCAAAACUAUGAUGAGCCAAAGAAGAAGGCAUUGCCCCAACAAAGAAUUCUAACUACAUUGUUCAUGUUAUUUAUCUUGAACAUACUACAAAUUUUUGAUGUCGUACUGCUGUUCAUAUUACAAUGACAAUGCUUAACCUGGGCAUAUCCUGGUAUGGCUAUGUGAGGACAUCUUUGAACUCUUGAGGUAACUCAACAAGAUCUUGUUUUGUUUCUUCGGUUAUGCACAUUCCCUUAAGGUCACAAUCUCCACUGUCUCCUCAGGAAGUAAAAUUUCCUUCCUGCUCUACCAUCCUCAACAAGUCCGGAGAUAGGCUACAAUCUAUGUCAUUUUCAAAGUCAUGAGAUCCCCCUAAACACAUGCCUCGCUCAAAAAGAAAAUCCUGAGUCUGUCGCAGCGUCACUCACGUCAUUGAUAUCUGGGAACCCAUAGUUAGUGCAAAAGAAUAUACAAAAGAGUGUGUGAAUUUAUGAAUGAUUAUCUGUACAAUAAUUAUGAAUGAAAGAAUGAUGUGGAAGAAAAUCCAAAAGAAUGAAAGAAUAAUUACUUGCAAGAAUAUUUGAAAAAAUAAAUGCCAAGAUGUAUUUUAUUAGAAUAAUGAUGUUCAAACAUGAGCCUAUUUCACAAAGGAAUUUCUAUCAUUUUUAGGCUAAAAACAACAAAAAUGUUCUGAACAUUACUCAAAAUAAGCUCUAAAAACUACAGAGAUUUUUUUGCAGUCCAAUUAUUUAGAAACCUUCAAGUUGAUAAGGUCUAAUAUCUAAUAAGGACUCUUCUCAGUUGUCUUCAUGUACGGCAUUGAUGUGAACGUUUCUUAACCCUUCUUCAUACAUUGCAUUCACCUCAUCAUCGAUAUGAUUGGGUAGCAGAUUUUCUGCAUUGGAUGAACCAUCAAACUUGACAACGCCUAUAUUGAUGAGUCUUUCAACUAGCUUUUUGAAGGCAAUGCAAUUCUCUACAGAGUGCCCCAUAAUUCCAGCAUGAUAAUCACAUUGCGCGUUUGUAUCAUACCAUUUAGGGUACGGAGGUUGUAGGGGUUUUGAGUAGAAAGGUGCAACAAUGUGCGCAUCGAAUAAGCUUUGAUACAGCUCCUUGUACGACAUUGGAAUUGGCAUGAACUGGAGUUUUUUAGUACCUGGCUUCACAUAUGAUUCUUGCUUUAAAGGACCCUGAUGGCUGGUGAUUUCUGUCUUUAGCCGGCUCACAGCGAUUGGUCUUAAGUGGCCCUUGUUAUAUCUACCUUCAUUUUUCCCCUUAUUCCCUUUCUUCCUUGAGGCUUUUAUAGUAUCUGGGUGCUCUACCUUCGCCUGUUUUAUUUUUGAUGAAUUGUCAAGAGCAACAGGAUUGGAUUUUGGGUCUAUCAGGCGAUAUACUGGUGUCGAUGUACCAGUCAGAUAUUGUCAGGAUCUUGUAGUAAAGAGUGCCUCUUGUGGACAAGUGUCUGGUUGGUCCUGGACACUUAUCAAGGUAAAAUCUGGGGAAUAUAUAGGAUCCUCAUUAUCAUCCCCAAAGUGAGCCGCUGGGCUUUUCCCUUUACCCAAUAACUGGGUUAGCUGGCUCAUAUUUAUUUGGAAUUCUAGCAUCUAAUUCCUCAUUUCUUGUUGAAAUUCAGUCAAUUGCUCUUGCAUCUAAAUUUGCAUUUGCUCUAUUCUCUCCAAUCUUCGGUCCAUGCCUCCUGACUUUGCUCGGGUACUAUAACAGUGUUCGGUUGAUUGGUUGAUUUUCGGAUUAACUGAGGAGUGACUUAAAUUAAUUAGAAUCUUUCAAUGUUUUAUAUGAAGUAAUGCAAUACAUGAAUGCAAAAAAGAAGUCAAUUUUGAUUCAAUUCCAUAUAAGAAAACCUUACUAGAAAUCAAAUUUCUUUACAUAAAGCGAAUUACAAAUAAGACUUUACCCUAGUACCCAGAACUCUAAUCUUUCUAAGUAAUAAAGUUAAUUCUUGCCCCCGAUCCGACUCUAAUUCAUACUUCACACUCAGCGUGUCAGCCUGUACUGCUAAAGUCUGUACAUGAUCAGCUACUUCUCGAAUCUAGACCACAGCUUCCUCGAUAAGAUGAUCUCUUUUUCUAACUUGACUCUGAAAGUGGUGAAGCUGUUCAUUACUACGAAUUUUGUUUGCUUUCAAGUGCUUGAUCUGAAUCUCACAAUUUUGCAGCACCGUUUCUAGCUCUUCGAUUCUUUUCUUCAUUUUGUCAAUCUUGCUCAAGCUUGCUUUCAACUCUAUCGUAAAGUUUCGGCUUCGAUACUAAUGAAGAGAUCUUUCCAACAUAAUCACCCUAUCCUUUAGUUCGCAUUUUUCCCUUUGGCUUUCUGACAAACUCUUUUCUAAAACUUCAUUUCGUCUCUGCAUUUCCUUAUAUUUUUGUUCCCAUCCAUCGGCUUUGUCCUUUUCUUCUUGGAUUUCUGCUCGCCAUUGUUCUGAAGUCUUUCCCAGCCCAGCAGUUCUCAUUGACAAACGCAUUUUUUAUAAUCCGUCUUCAGACUGCCCAGUUCCUCAUCAGCCUUGUUUUUCCUUUUCUUCAACCUAUCAUUCUCAAGCUUCUGAACGUCUAUGUCCAAUCUCAAGUUCGUCUUUUCCGCCUCCAUUUGCUCUAUCCUUUUCUCCAAAUCUGCGUUUUUCCUCUUAAAAUCUUGUCUUACAAUUUCUAAUUCCGAAGGGAUGACUCGCAAAUGCUCUUCUAUUGACUGGCCGUCCUCAUGAUUUAACUUAGGUGUGUUAUCAUUAAUCCUCCUGGCCCACCAUCCAUAAUACUCAGGAGUUGUCAUUGGCCCCACAGCUAACCUUUUCAUUCGGCGAGUCUGUUUCCACGCACUAGACGUCUCUUGAAUCUUCUUCCUAUAACCAUCAUCCUAGUAUGAAAAUUCACAAUCAGCUAUCCCUUGGGUUGCAAGUAUAAACUGCCUUGACUUAUAUUGCCUUAACACCAAUAAUGGGGCAUAUCCGACAGCUCCCCAAAUAUCCAAUAAAGGUACCCAAUCGAAAUUACCACACCUAUAUAAGAUCUCAUCUGGAAGUAACCAAGGAGCUCUCCACUCGACGUCUUCCUCUUGAAGAUUUUGAAGAAUUGCUAUCCACUUCUCCUUCGAAAUGUCACCUCUCUUGGGCGUAGCGACUAUUUCCUUUAGUGGUGAAUAAUUUUCAGAGAAAACCCGAUAUGAAACCUUAUCCACCUUCCAAAAAUGACUGUGAAACCACGCGAGUAGAAGCUGUGCACAUCCAAUAAACCUACCUUCACCCGUCUUCCGACAUGCACUCAAUGACCUGAAAGUCUCUAUCAAAAUUGUUGGAAUCGGUGUAACUUUCUUAUCGAGCCGGUGAAUAAAUCAGUGACUGUUUCAUCCACAUACCCCAAGGCUUUAGGGAAGACAACCAAGCUGUAUAUACUUAAGGCAAAAACAUCUAACCUUUUCUUGAAAUCUGGGUGUGUGAGAAUUGCAUCUUUCAAGCCUCUCCAAGGAACGCACUUACUGUCCCCCUUUUGCUUAAUUCGUGCGACAACCCACUACUCACUCAUUCCUGUUACACUCAUCAGCUUCUUGGAAAAGGUUGGCACAUUUAUCGCUCUCGAAUAGACCCUGUCCACUUGAAACUUUGAACAACGGAGUAAAGCCAUAUACUCCUCUAUCGUAGGCACUAAAUCGACCUUCCCGAACGUAAAGCAGCUGUAAGCAGGAUUCUAGAAUUGGGCGAGGGCUUGAAACAAAUGCUUGUCUACCUUCACAUCUAGCAAAUAAGGCAGAUCCCCAUAAUUAUCAUAAAAGAGCUGUCUAACCUCAUCACUCCACUGACCCCAGAUUUCCUUCAAUUCUUGCAAAUUGUUUUGAGUUGCACUGAUAUGCGUAAAGUCCCAUAACUCCGAUACAUGCCCAUCAGCCAAACUAUCACCCUUUUCUUGCUGUGUUGUUUCAGACCAAGUUUGGACAGCCGCAUUGUCCUCCACUUUAUCAAGAAACCCUUUUUCCAUGUUAAGCUUUCUAUCUAGCAACCGAAUAUGAACUGACGCCUUUUAUGAUGAAAUGAAAUGCCAUGUCAUGCAAAUAAAACACCAAAAGUCAGUAUAACAUAGAAACAUAAGAUAUAAUCAAGAAAUAGUAAAGAUCCCUAAUUGGAUAUCUACUAGGGUUUAGUAUAGUUCUACCUAGGGUGGAUUCUUAAGGUUCAUUAUAUGAAGUUUGGCUUCUAGAGUAAAGGUACCUGAACCAGCAGAUUCCUCAGUCCUCACCCAUUAUAGGCUCAUAUGGAUCGAGUUCGGUUCAGGGGAAUACAUUUCCCUAUGGCUGCACGGAGAUGAAAAUCUCAUGAAGACAUAGGUACGGAUAUAUCCCGGAAGCAAUCCACUACCCUACACGGAGAUAAAAACCUCACGAAGGCAUAGCUUCUCACUCCCACUUAAAAGGGCCAAAAUUGUUCAACUCAUGAAAUGCAUAAUGCAAACAAUAUUUAAACAAGAAGGUAAGGAAUGAAAAAUGAUGUUAUGAGUUUUUUUUAAAAAAAAAUAUUUUCUCGACCAUAAGACAAAAGUUAAUUAACUUUGUGGCUCGACUCUCUUAUUUUUUCAAAAAAAGUCCCCAGUGGAGUCGCCAACCAGUCGAAACCAUUUUUUUGAAAAAUAAAAAUUUUAGGUGUCAACUUUAAAAAACAAAAUAAAUAGGAGUCGCCACCAAUCUUUUAUUGAGGUGUGAUUGGAUCACCUAAAAAACGACUUUGGUCUACGAGUUUUAGAAAAACGGAUCUGGGAGUCAGUUACGUACGAGGAAGGAUUAGCACCCUCGUAACGCCCAAAAUUGGUACCUAGUUAAUUAAUUAGUGUCUUAAGGUCGAGAAUUUGGAAAAAAAACGUGAUCCUUAGCAAAACUUAAAAGGUUACGUAUUAAGACCCUUAUUAUUUCAGAGAAAGAAGAUACCACACCCAAUGCAUUAGGGCACAGCAUUCUAAUUUUCCCCAAAAUGAAUUGGGCCAAAAUACUUGUACAAUAAAACUUUAAAAGAACAUCCACUUAUCCAAGAUUUAAGAAAUCACACCCAAUACGUUAGGGCACGAUUCCUUUAGAAUCCCAAACUUGGAAUAUUUCCUUUACUUUAAAAGAACAUCCACUUAUCCAAGAUUUAAGAAAUCACACCCAAUACGUUAGGGCACAAUUCCUUUAAAAUCCCAAACUCAGAAUAUUUCCUUUAUUAUUUUUAAAAAAAAUCUUCAUUUCGAGAAAUCAAUGCGUCACAUCCAAUACGUUAGGACACAACGUGUUGAAUUCCCAAUAAUGAGUUUUUAUUUUUUUUGAUUAAAGAGAAAUGCUUGAUUGUUAGAUUUAACGAAGAAAAUCGGAACCCAAUACGUUAGGGCUCAAUUUCCUUGAAAAUCCUAAAUACGAACAUUAUCUCAAAAAAAUUCUAAUUUAAAAUUUGAGUAAAAAAUGAUGUAACGUUAUUUUAUACGUACAAAUGCUAUAAUAAUAACAACAAUAAUAAAUACAUCAAUGACAUAAAAAUAAUAUAAACAAAUGAAUAAACGAAAUAAAAAAACAGUAAUCCAUGACAUGCAAAAUAUUAAAUGUAAACACAAUUAUACAAUGAAUGGGAAAGCAAACAAAAUAAAUAAAGAUCAGAAGACGUAUAAUAUACACAUGGAAAUUAUGAAGAUAAAAAAUAUACAUAUAAUUUACAAAUAAAAUUUUGGGUUAUAAAAUUUAUAUAUAAAUAUAAUACAUAAUAUACUUAUGCAAAUAAAGAAAAAAAUAUAAUUAUACGUACAUAUAUAAAAUAAUUAAAAAAUAGGUAUAUUUUAAAAAAGAAAAAGUGAGUAUUUAAUCAUUUAAAAAAAACGUAAAUAUAUACAUAUAAAUAUGAAAAUAUUUAUUAAAAAAUAUAGGAAAAUAUUAGUUUAAAAAAAAUAUUAGCUGAAAAAAUAAGUAUGUUCAUAAAAAUAUACAUAUAUAGAUUUUUAAAAAAUGAAAAUAAAAAUAAUAAUUACACUAUCAAUUAAUAAAAUAAAUAAAAAGAACAUAAAAAAACUAAAUUGAAUUGCAAUUAAAAAAUCUGGGGUAAAUCCGCAAAUAAAUAAAAGUAAAAGGACUAAUUUGAAUGCGCGAAUUACGUAGAGGAGCUGGAAGGAAAAUUUCUCCUUCUCCUCUAAAACGGCGCCGUUCAAAUGGAUCAAAUUGGAAUUUAAAAUAAAUAAAAGGGUAAAUUAAAAAAAUAAAAAAAAACUUAAUUACAAAAACAUUAAAAGGUGGAGGGGCUAAAUAAAAAUAAAUAAAAUUCGCAGUGGUGUCACCUUCUCCUUUUUUUUUAAAUCGUAAAUAAAUAAAAAAUAAUCGAACGAAAAAUAGUAAACCACCUUUAAAAACUGUCAAUCGUUCUUUUUUUUUAUUCCUCUUUUUUCUUUCUUUACAAUGAAGGGAGAGGCCUCUAUUUAUAUGAAAUAUAAAUAUAAUCUUUUCUUCCAAAUAUGAUAUCCAUUAUAAUGAAUAUCUUUUAAAACUAAUGCAUUAACCAUCACAAAUUUUGUGCUUUUUAGAUAUUGAUAUAUUAGCUCUUCUGAAGCUUUCAACUAAUUUUGUACUAUCAAAUAUUGGAAUAAUAUUUGUUUGUUUCAGUACCAAAUAAGAUAAAUAUUUUCUAUCUGUAAUGAUAGAAUUCAUUACCAUAUUCCUCAAAGAAUAUUAACAAUAACAAAAUAUUUGGGCAUACACCACAUAUGUGGCCAAUAAUUUUCAUAUCACAUUGAUAAUAUAAGUUAUCUUUAUCCUUUGAAGAGUUAUCUUAAGAACUAUCAUUGUUCUCUUAUUUAUUACUAUGUUCCCCCUUUUAGUGAUCCAUGAUUAUAUCUUUUAUUUUCUUUAUGUUUGCAUUCACUUCAGGGAAUGCAACAAGUCUAGUAGGACAAACUUCUAAAUGCCUCUAUUGAUUCUUUAUUUCAUAAUCACCGUCGUAAACAUAAGUAGAUUUCAAAUCAAAAUCUAUCUAUUCAUGUUUGUCAUGAUUAGUCUCCAAUUUUAAUAAACAUGAUAUAAUAAAAAAUCAUAGUAAAAUAUACUUGAAGAUCUUUAACACCAUCAUCGUCACUUUGGCUAUUAUCACUAGCACUAUUACAAGUACUAAAAUAACUAUGCUUUCAUAAGAACAUACUACAUAUAAGUUAUAGACUCUUAUGAUGCUCUAAUAAAUUAUUUGUACUUUAUAAUUCAAUCUAAAAGUUAUAAUCCAAUCAUUCAUCAAUAAAAAAAAAAAAUUCUCUUUAAAGGGGACCAAUAUCACAAAAACUUAUAUUUUGCUCGACAAUUAAUAUAUAUUUAAAAAUUAUUUAAAAAUAAUACAUUAUAAAGUUUUAUUAGUAAACCUUAUGAACCCAUAGAUAUUCAAUAAUAUAACUUAAUAAUUUGAUCGGACUUAAAACAAAUAAAAUAAUAAUAAUCAUACCUCAAAAAAAAAUUGAAGCUCCUUACCAAUUUAAACUGUGCUCUAUAAAUCCAAAAUUCAUACUGAGAUCAAAUUUUUUUUUUACCAUCCAAAGCAACAAACUACAAUGUUCACCUUGGUGUUGAGUCUCUUAGUGUAUACUCAAACCUUUCAUUCGGAGUAAUACUCUUUUACCAACUUUAAUAAGAAGUAAAAUAAAUUAAUUAAAAUAAUCUCAAGUUAAUUUAACUUAAUUAAUCUAGAUAUAAAAUAUUAAAUAGAUAAAAUCUUCCUACAAAGAGUUACAAACAGCAGUGGCGAAAGGCAGCAAGUAAAGGGGCAAUAAAUAGUCAUUUGAAGAAGCAAAUGAGCCAACGAAACAGAAAAAUAAGAGUGAUUUUAGUGGUCGAAGGCUGAAUUUUGGUAUUAUGGAUGAGGCUUAAUGGUUCGCAAAGUUGUCGUUGAUUUAAUCCACAGUUAAGAUAAUUAAAAAAGAAUCAUGCUGAUAAAAUGUUAUAAAAUAAAAAACAGAAAAUAAAGAACAAAGAGAAUGUAAGAGUAAAGAGAGAACGUAUUUUUAUUGAUCAAUCAAUAUAUUUACAAAGCUUCUCCAAAGUUUUUAUUUAUAGGCCUAAGAAAUAUAAAUGAAGUAGUCAAAACUUAUCUUGAUCUUGAUGGACAAUCACUUAAUAAGAUAUUCAUAACACAUAAUUAUUUUUAAAUUAAAAAUUUUAUUAAACAAUUUAAUUUCAAAUUAUGAUAACAUCGGUAAAUGUUAAGAAAUAUUACAUAAAUAUUAUUCUAACUAUUGAACAGAUGAUGGUGGGUGGUAAGGAAUAGGAAUAAGGCGCAAAUCUCUUUUUCUUCCUGCAGUAGCACCAAAGAUCUCAGUCAUAUCCAGAUCCUCAUUCUUCAUACCAUUAGGGAGCUUCCAAUCAAAAUGAUAAAGUAAUUGUGCAAGGGAAAGCUCAACCACAGCCAUACCAUAUGACAUGCCAGGACAUAUCCUCCUUCCAGCACCAAAUGGAAUAAACUCGAAGUUGGUCCCCUUAUAGUCAACUGAACUAUCUAUGAAUCUCUCUGGAUAGAACCUCUCGGCCUCAUUCCAAUAGUUGGAAUCUCUUCCAAUGGCCCAUGCAUUAACAAUCACUUUGGUCUUGGCUGGUAUCGCAUAUCCAUUAAUUUCACAUCUCUCCCUACUUUCUCUUGGAAGUAGCAAAGGUACAGGAGGGUGUAACCUUAGAGUUUCCUUCAUAACUAACUUCAAGUACUUCAAUUCAUGAAGGUCUGCUUCGUUGACAUCCCCUGUUAUAUCAUAGACUUGCCUCACCUCGGCUUGUGCUUUUUCAAGGAUUCUAGGAUUUUUUAUCAUUUCCGACAUUGCCCAUUCUACUGCAGUUGAAGAUGUCUCAGUUCCAG
rnacentral:lncRNA from 1 species